rnacentral:lncRNA from 1 species
UAAAAUCGAAGCCUCAGCUGAUGGAGGGUCAAUCUGUAAGACCACCAGCACAUACUACCCCAAGGGCAAUAUCGAGUAUACCGAAGAACAAAUUGAGGGAGCAAAACAGCAAAUUAAGGCAGCAAAAGAAAGGUCCUCGGCCAUGUUCAAGGCUGUGGAAGCCUACCUCAUCGCAAAUCCUGAUGUAUACAAGUGAUCAAUGCUGCUUCAUAUAUGUCCACAUACUUGUUGGAUGAUUGAAAUAAACAUAUUGAGGAUCUGUUUUCUUUGGUAGCUCUUUUCUUGAGCUUCAAUUGUUGGGUAAUGCGAUUUUAAUGUAUCAUCAAACUGUGUUUUGCUUGUAAUAUUUUACCGGUCAUCAAUAAUAAAUCUUGUUUGAAGCUUUGAUUUGUGAUUGCGCCGUGAGUGACACCUAAAUUUUUAAUGCCUAUGUCGAAAUUUGAAGCACCUCAUUGAUUGGAGAAUCCUCAGAAGAAAUCUAUCACCAUUUUAGCAAUUGCCAAAAAUUUGCUUAUGUAGUUUAAGGUUAAGAAAUGUCAAAGUUGGUUAGUUGAGUUCUUCACUAUCUAUGGAAUCCAUAGUUUCUGUUGAUUAUAAAUGUCUACAAUUGUUGCAUCAUUGACUAUUAGCACCCAUAAGUAUGCUUAUACAAGUGUCUAGCCUCCAACUCAGAUGGAGUGCUAAGAAAAUACAAGAAAAGUGAAAAUUUUGUUUCAAAAAACAGUCAUCUAUAGUUAUUUAUACAAUUAUUACUAAAGUGGUCCAAUCAAAUCCCUUUUUGAGUAUAAGGGAUUUCAAACCGAAUUUAGCAACUUUCAUACUCUAUUUUGCCAGUGAGAAGGUGUCACCUGUGGAGCUGAACACAGCAGAGUAACCAUCAUUAGUUUAAUUUCCAGAGGGACUGACGUAUAAACUGAAACUUUUGUUAUAUGAUAAAUCUCCACAACAAUACCCUUCAAUGUGGAAUUUCUAUCAAGUUUGGUUAUCGUCUUGAAAUGAAGAUUCUAGACCUGACAGGAAUCUUCUCGAAGGGAAGGGCGGAUACCAGCCAACUUGUCUAACUGAUUCAACCUUAGUUGCCUUGCUGUGGCAAUUAACACACUUGGUCAGAGACUUCCAAAACUUGGUUCCUUAACAAAAACAAAGUUCAUUCACUACAACUACUUUACAGGAGCCAAUACUCUUUUUUCUUAUUUGGGGAAAUCUUACCUCUCUUCUGAGUUUAUCAGCUGCUAUUGAUGCCCUCUAAGGAGAACUCCAGAUGCACUGAGAAAAUUAAGAUUCCUAACAUUCUGCAGCAACAAUCUAUCAGGUAUAUGCCCAUCAUCCAUUAACAUGGUGGAGAACUUCCAUCAGGCUUUGUGCUCGUGCUUCCCCAUCUUCAUCUUUAUCAGCUUGGAAGCAACAACUUUACUGGAGCUCUUCCACUUUCACUAUCAAAUUCUACAAAGCUAAGGCUGUUUAAGUUGUCAAGCAACAGUUUUACUGGAAAGGUGUCAAUUUUUUUAAAACCUACAACAGCUUAUGGAGAUACUUCUCCAGAAAAAAACUAAUGUUGUUAGUGGGGAACUAGAUGAGCUCAAUCAUUUUUGAAUUCACUAACUGCAGCAAUCUGGAUUUUACGAUGAGCUAUAACAAAUGAUGCAUGCAGAUUCUCCACUAAGCUUGUACAGUUUGCAGUAACUUCACACAGGUUUAUGGUGACAUUCGUUGUGCAUUGGUGAUCUUGUCAACCUAAAUUGGUUAUUUAUGGAGUAUUAUGACAAGCCCACUGCCCUUUUUUCCCACUGGAAUUGGUAAUCUUCAAAAGCCAAAAAAGGCUGAACUUUAUCAGGAAACCUUCCAUAUCCUAUGGGAAAUUGUUGCUCUUGAAUGAUCUAUGGCUGAAUGAAAACAAAUUAAAAGGAUAUACGCCUGCAAAAUUUGGAAACUGUCAAAACUUACUAGUUCUCAAUCCUUCCAGAAAUAAGCUCAAUGGAACCGAAGUAGAAAGUCUCUUCAGUAUAGCAUUGUUAUCAAUCAUUAAGUCUAGCACAAAACCAUUUAACUGGAUCUAUUCCUUCAAUUCUGGCAACCUGAAGAAUUUUGUUGAGUUGGCCAUAUCUGAAAAUCAUUUAUCUUGUCCAGAGAACUUUCUUGGGACCUGCAGCAACCUAGCAUAUUAUACCUAAAGGGGAACUUCUUCCAGGGGCCUGUCUCUCCAGCUAAGCAGAGUUCACAACUAAGAUCUUUCUCUCAACAACUUUAUGAAGAAUCUAUUAUAUCCUUUUGCAGACAUUAGUGCUGUACCAGUUAUCAGACAUAAUAGUCGUACAGUGUGCGUGCACCUGUUCUUAGCUGUAGAGAUGCAACGUCAGAAAACGAAAGCUACGGAAGAUGUAUGUUAUCCACAAAAUGAUCCCUUCAGUAGUUUCUAUGGUUCUUAGAGCCACCCUGUUGUUGUCUUUUAUCUACUGCUUUAUUUGGAGCAUAAAAAAGUUUUCCCUGCAGAAUCAACCACAGAAAAUCCACCUGGAACAUUCUUACAGGAAAACUACUUCAAGCAAAUAAUGGAUUAUCCAAAGACAAAGUAAUUUGUAUGCUAGCUUUGGUGCUGUUUAGGAUAAUUUGACCACAAUGGACUAACUAUCACUGUUGAAGUAAUCAAUUUUCAACAUAAAGGAGCUUCCACAAGUUUCUUGUUGAACAUCAUCUUUAGGCAAGUGUUUGGCAGAAAUCAUAUUAAGAUUACAAACUGCUUGCUCGAGUAUUGAUUUUCACAAAAAUGAGUUUAUAGCUCUACUUCUUGAUUAAAUGCCCAAGGGACGUCUAGACAAAUAGAAACAUCCAACAAACUAAAUCUUUUUCAAAGAACAAAUAUUACAUAGGAAGUUCAAUUCAUUACGUUCACAACCAGUGCCAGAAACAAAUUUUUGUGAUAUAAAGCCAGGUAAUGUUCUUCUUGCCAUGAUAUAACGGCUUGUGGGAAAUUUCGGUUUAGCCAGAUUUCUACUAGAAGUGAAAACUUUGUAUAAGUAUGGUCCAACAGGAGUAAAAAGGAACUGUAGGCUAUGGAGGUCCAGGUGAUAAAUUUUUGCUUUGCUCGGAAUUUGCAACAUUGUUCUUUCUAAAAGAAGUUAUAAAAAAAAAAACCCUUAAAAAAAUAGCAUUAACACAUACCAUAUAACUAACGAGGUAUUUCUCAAAUUUCAAAAUGUUUAUGAUUCUGCAACUGUCUAAAGCUUCCAUAUACAAUUGUUUGAUUUGACUAGUUGACAUUUAGCCUGCUAAAUACUGUGGUAUCUUAAGUCCUCAUGUUACAGCAUUCUUUUCUUUACCCAACAGUUCGAGGUUUCUAGAGUAACAUCAGAUGGGCAAUUAUAAAAAAUCUUCUUACUUGCAAAUUCUUGAAAGAUGCCUGAAUAUGGACCAGGAACAGAGCCAUCAAGGAGUUGGGCUGUCUACAGUUUUGGUAUCUUGAUCCAGCAGACGACGACCAGCAAGAGGCCAAUGGUCACUAUCCACAACUUUGCCAGGAUGGUUUUGCAUGACUAUACUAUAAGAAAUGUGGAUACAAUUAGCUCUAGAGUAUGAAGACGAAGAAGAGAAAACAGAGUUAAUUGACUAGAAAAAGUCUUCAAACAAGAGAGAGAUGGUGACUUACUGAAAUACUGCUUCAUUCAGUAGUCGAUGUUGGAUAUGACAGUUCUAAGGAAUCACCACAAAACAGAUUGGAAAUAGCAAUGCUCUCCAAGAGCUGUGAGAUUUCAGCGAAAUCCUAUGACAACAUGUCCGUUCCAUGGUGACCUGAUGAUCUCAUACACCAAGCUAUGCUCAGAAGAGAAAGAAACCCCACCCCCACCCCCCCCCUUUCCCAAAAAAAAAAAACAACACAGCAAGACAAAACUAAGAACAAAGAAGAAAGUAGAUGUAAGGUUGGGAUAAUGCCAGACCUUGGGCAUAAAUUCCUAUUGUAAUUACCAUAUAGAAAAGUAACACGGGUAAAAUCAGGUAUUCCCUUGUGAUGUGCAUAAACAACUCUUACUAUAAAGAUAAAUUUACAGGCAAGACCAAUUUCUUUUGCUUUGCUCUGUCAGUAACAACUAUCAAUAUGUCGUUUACAUGCUUGAAGAAAUUAGACCAGAAAGUUUACCUAAUAAAAGCUACUAUAUUUUGACUAAAAACAACAGACUGAAAUAGAACAAACUUAGAACCAAAAUUUAGAGUAACACAAGAUGCCAAAUAGGAUAAAACACCAUAUAUGAAGAAACAAAACUUAGAAUCUAUCUCAAACAAAGAAUAAAGUCCAACAAACUUUUCAGAACAUUUAGCCGCACUAUAACUGCAUAAUUGAAACAAAUGCCCAGUCAGACUACAUCAUAACAACUCAUAACUUGCAGCCCUUCAGUUUAAUUCCAGGGAUUUAUUAGAGAUAUGGUAAUUCAGAAACACACAUAAGUUUGUUAGCAUAAAGAAUAGAGUGGAAAACAGGAAACUCAGGGGAUUUAGAAAAGAGAAAUGCUAAUAAAGCACCAACAAAAGAAAAACAAAAACUAUCAAAUCUCUACAAACCAAGUCAUGGACAAGUGGCCUCUACCUAUUUCUCCCAAGGGAGUGAUCAAAGGAUACUAGAAAGGAAGAGUGGGUUGAGAGAGAGAGAGAGAAUACUCCGUUCUAAAAUAAAAGAGUUGCAGACAGAAGUGUGAACAUAGUAUUAAAAUGCCAAUUAUAAAAUUGGAAGUUUAUCUCCCCACUCUUUACUUAAUAGCCAAAGUGAACAAUAUGAUAUUGCAUGCACAAUUGUGCAUUAGAAUGUGGAUUGGAAUUGCCAGAUAUGGAUUUACCAUUUAUUUUAGUAUUUCAUUUCAAUUGAAGUAGAUAAUAUAACUGCAGUUUAUUAUUGAACUAACAAAGCAUUUGGAAUCUUACAAACUAACAUGCCUAAUUAAGGUAAUGUUUUCUGCAAAUUAUCCCUUUACUGAUCUUGGCAUGGGGAUUCCUUUGCUUGCAGCUAGUUGUAGAUAACUAAAAGCACUCUUCUGGAUCUUUAAGUUCCACAAAGUAUCAAAACAUAACAUCUAAAAGUAUACAACCAUGAGAGCCUACAUCUCCUGUAACUAAUACUUGCACAUUCCAAAAGGAAAAUAUAAUAUCUCAUACAUAUGAAAACCUUUUAAAUGCACUCCGACAAAAUUGUUCUCCUCUCCUGGUUGGAAAAGAUGAAGGUUACUCUAGGAAAUAAAUGUAGAGCUUGAUAGUAAUGGAAGUCAAAUCUCAACAAUCAAACUUUUGAAAGUGUAGCAGACAAAACUAAUUUCAUGGAAAGCAUAUUGGAUGUCAUCAUAUUCCAAGUGGCAAGUAUUAAUCAAGUUGCUUAGACAGCAUUUAUAUUAGAACAAAAACUAAAAAAUGGCUUAAUCUCCAUAAAGGAAGAAGUUAUUGUGUUUGAUAAAGCAUUCCAAAUAUGUAUAAAGCAGUAUAUUCUUCUAUCCAACAAAUAAAAUUUGUGCAAAUACCAAUACAAGCUCAUAAAUCUGUGGUUGAUGAUUAGGUUGGAUCAAAACAAAUAAUAAUUAGGCUGGGUCCAGAAAAUAAAAGCAGAUCAUUCCUAAUUAAAGAGAAAAUUGUGAAGAAAGAACUUGCAGGUUUCUUUUCAGGCAAAAAUGGCCUGGACACAAAAUCUUAGCCAGGUCAUGCCACUAGGGUUUAGUGAUAUAAAAGAACUAAAGCAGUCAAUGAUUUCAAAGAUCACAAACUCAAGUAAGCAAUGUAUGGGUUCCAUUGUGCAUUUCAUCCAUAAUCUGCAUAACAGAACUUCUAAAUUACCGCCAGUGUGAUGCUAAAAUAUUGAUCUGGAUCAUAUUCUGUCACUUGUAUCAUAUAUACAUCGAACUCUCUUGUCCAUUCUGAAAUCCUAAACAAAACCUGGAUGUGCUCCUACUCACACCAAAGAGAUUCCAGGCACAAUUCUUCAUCUAGGACAUAAAUCAUAUUAGAAUUUCAUUCUCAACAAUUCAUCAGUAACCAGAGAUCAAACCACUAAUUGUUGGAAACUACAGGCCCUUGAGUACAAUGAGUUUCAAUAUUGAUGGUAAAUAGUUUUAACAGAGGGGGAAAUUUUCUGGAUAGAAAUUCUAUUUGCAGAAAAGACAUAACCACAGACGACUAUACCUCUGCGUUCUCAAGCUUUUGCACAAGCCUUGGCUUUCUAUUUUAGAUUCUUUCCUUGCCAGUCUCCAUCAAAAGAGACGAAAGAUGAGGUAAAGGAGAGGAAAUUUGUAAAAGACAGAGGCAGUAUUUUCGUUGCAACUACUUUCACUAAUGCCUCUUUCCAUUUCAAAUCAAAAGAUCUCCAACAAUAAAAGUUUGAAGCGUCAAAUGAUACCCAAUUAUUGGAUCCUGCUUGCACAAAGAUGAAGUGCUGUAUUUGCAGAACUACGAGCAUGAAAAGAAAGAAGUCUUGCUCUUUUGGAGAUCAGAAAUCCAGUUAAGAAAAAAACUUAAUACAUUUAUGGCCUAUUUUUGCAUUACUAAAAUAGUUAACACCACAUCAAUAAGGAUGGUUAGCAUCUAGCAAUAAGAUUAUUGCAUCAUAGCAACAGAAUUUGUCUACUCUAGAUUCCACUCAAACAGGCAAUGUGACAACUCAAUUUGGAAUCCAUCAAGUGGCAACCUCUUCAAUUAUUUUAGUAUAACGUGAAAUAUUCCAAAUAUUUAAGCUUUAACCCAUUGCACUGUUUUGCUAGCAGCAGGUUGAAGAUUCAAUUAGAAAAGAUAAUGACAUAGUGUACAGUAUUUCUAUUAUUAAUCACAUAGUUUUCUAAACAUCCAAAAUGGUGAAAAAUUAUCAAGGCACCCUUUAGAGCAAUCUGGUCUGCCUCCACAUAAAGUUGACAGAAAUGCAAGUAGAAACUAUUCAGAACUUGCUAGUGCUAGUCUAUGUCAUCUGCAACCCCCAAUCAUUGUUUUGGGAAACCAAGAUUCCUUUAAGCAUGAUCAAAUUUUUUACAUGCAAAGGAGUGAAUAGUGUUAAAAUGAAAGUCUCUUUACAGAGUCUUUUCUACGUAAAUAUGAAUACCUAAGCCAAAUGAAUUGGAAGAGUUCUUAACCACUUGAAAGACCAAAAAUUAGAAAAUAUGCAGUGAAACAGCUGAAUUGCGGAACCAAGCAAUUGCAACUUUGGUCUGAAUUUGAGAAUCAAGGUCUACUAACCACCAAUUUUUGAGCUUUCCAUGAAGUAAUUCUACUCAACUUUCUAACAGUAUGCGAUUUUUCCCAAGGCUCACUCCUAGUUUUAAAGCAAACCCAGCUAACUUCAAAGAAAAUGCAAUCGGAAAACAAAUAUGGUAAUAAAAAUUUUUCAGACAAUCACUGUGGUAGGAUGAAAGGAUCACUCAACAGAAAAUCAUGAUGCAAAAUAAUUCUCCUUGGAGUGUUUCAGAAGAUAGAGUAAAACUAACAUAUUCCAAAAGACCACUAAUUUUAGGCCUGUUAGCAUAUCAUUCUACAGUUUAAACUUAGAGAUAGUGAAAAAAUCUGACCUCCGUCCAAUGAAAGCACCUUAAGAGAAAAAAACAAUUAAAUUUUUCAUCAUGUAAACCAAAUCCCAUUCUUACGUCACACCAAAUACAGAAGAUUAUUCAGCAAUGUGUAUUUAAUUUAUGCUUCAAAACAACAACAAUUUAGAAAUAAGUAGAAAUUCUCAAAAUUUUGAUUUUUUAUGAAUUAGCUCUAACUCUUACAGUUUGCAGACAAUGACAAUUGACAAAAACAGUCAUACUACACUCACUCAUCAUUUCCCUUUACUCUUUUUCCCGCAUCAACACCAUGACCAUCAUCCACCUCAUCAUCACUAACAUCAUCAGCAUCACUAGCAGCAUCAUCAUUAGAAUUAGAGGGAGGAGAAGGGUCAAGCCUAGCAGCAUCAAUAGCCCACUUAAUUACCUUCUCCACUUCAUCUUCUUCUCCAGCACCAUCAUCAUCCAUCAACUGCUGCUGCUGCUGCACUUGACCAUCUCUAACAGAAGUAUUAUACGAAGGAAGAGAACUCUUGAGAGCAGCAAAUCUUGCAAAAAGAUCAUCACUUUCAUCGAUAUUUUGCAAAACCUUUUCUGGGUUUUUCUGGGUUGUGCCUGCUGUAUCAUCAAGCUUUGAUUUUGAUAUUGAUUUUGAAUUUGAUUUUGAUUGAUGGGGUUUUUUCAGGGCUAGAAAGCGUGAAUCAAGAUCAGGGUCAAUGCUAGAAAAUUGAGAGGAAGAGUGGGUCAUGUGGGAAUUGAGGCGAGUUUAAGAAGCAUAUCAUCUUGUGCAGCUUUCAGCAAUUCCUCCACUUCAUCUUCUUCAACUGACUUCUCCAUCUUCUUUCUGCCGUCGUAAUUACUACUACUCAUUCUAUUGGAUUGGAAUUUUUGGGCUCUUUCUCUCCGAUAUUACUAAUUCUUGCUUUUGAAAUUUUGUUGGAGUGCAAUUUGGGAAAAAUAUGCAGAGACUUAAUUGCAAUUUGCCCUCUAAUUAGGAAUUAGUUUCACUUUUGCACGCUAUAUAAGUUUUAUAUACACUUUGCCCCCCAAGGUUUAAAAGUCUAGUGUUACUUCAUUCAUGCGCAAGAGUGUAAUACUAUAGAUAUCCUUGACUAUUUUUUCCCUAGAGUGAAGGGCCAAAAUUAUCACUCAACUAUUAAAAAUGGGACAGUUUGAUCAUAACUUUUUUUGUGACAAAAAAGGUCGUUAAAUUGGAAAAUGUGCGCAUUCGAGUUAUUUUGUCAAUUUCUACUAGUAAACCAUUCGGUUACAUGGGUCCUGUGUUGGACGAAUAUUCUCGCAUGGACAAGAAUGCCCAAAAGGGUAUUGAACAAGCGAACCCCACAGAUUGAAACAUCCCGAAAGUUGACCAAGUGAAAAACUCCUUAUCUUGUUCGGUAAAUUAGGGAGAUAGGUGGCAUACAAUGAGUUUUGCAGCCUAAUCAUUUCACCAACUUCAUAAUCGAGGAAAUUGUGAAGUUUGUGAUUUUAAUGGAUUGGGUGAAGCAACCAAGGGAUGAGUAUACUGAUCUGUACACGAUUUAGGAUAUGUUUCAGUAAAUUAUCUUUCAAUUAAGAAGUGCUUGUUAAGAAAUAGUUAAAACUCUCAAAGUAUUAACCCAAAAUGGAAAGAUGUUAGAAAAAAAGUUAAGGGUGUAGGGACUAUGAUGUUAGGGUUUAAUGGGUUUUUUAUGCUACACAUGGGACUUGAAAAGGACAUGAGUGUAUGAACCUCAUUUUUGUCAUUAUAGUAGCUACAAGGAGUUCUAUACUAACAUAUGUUUGUACUAAAUUAAUUAGGCAUAAUCUUGGAACUUUUCUUGCAUACGUUGACUAAUGGGAUAUCACAUUGAGAUUUGUGUGCUAAAGAAAUGAACCUAUAAUUUAGAUUAAAAAAUUAUUAUCAGACAAUAGUUUUAUUAUUAAAAGAUUGAAUUUUUAUAAUUUGUUUUGCCAUUAGACGUGUCUGCGUGUUGGUUUUUAUGUGUAAAAAAAACCUUGCACUUAAGCUUAAAAUAUUAAUUAAUUACCAACUACAUACCACUAUUUGUUUGUUAGUACAAAACAUGGAUGCUCAUUAAAAUAUAAAUCAAUUACCCUAUUGAAGUCAAACUGUAUGGGCUAACAUGCGUACUUGGCAAUUGUGUUGCUAACUUGCGUAGAGUAAACUUCCGCCAUUGUUGCACAUUGGCAGCUCUGCAUUCUUGUUUCUAUAUAUAUUAUGAUUCAACUUCACAUUCGCAUACAUUUCAUCCUAUUGGUUUUUUGCAUUUUUUUAGAGUUUUGUUAGCCAACUGUCUUCUUCUCUCUUGCUUAAAGUCGCCAUAAGUAAGGUUCUAAAGUCCCAAUUCAUGGAGUGGCUGACACGUCAAGCCAUUCAUGCUUCAAUUUUGGGACUUGAUGUUAGCCAAAUUCAACCUGGGAAGCUGGAGCAAGCUAUUGGACAAGUGAAUCCAAGCAUUAUUCACCAGAGAUGGGUGGUAAGUCUUGGGCACAAGUAGUAGUGGAGCUCAACCAGCUCAUGGGGAUUGAAUCUUAAAUUUAUUCCACCGGAAGAUCAAUGCCCAAUCCAAGUUGAUGGAGGAUGUAUCUCAAGGAUUGGAGAAAUAGCAGCAUGCGGUAGUAGGCUUUGCUUUGGGAUUCAAUCCUCCAUUUAGCGUUGUCCAGAAAUUUGUCGAAAAUAGAUGGGCUGAAAUGGGGAAGGUUGAGGUGAUAUCCUUGAAGAAUGGCAUUUUUAUAUUCAACUUUUCCUCUGCUGAGAGUCAGACAUGUGUAUUGGAGCAAUCUCCAUGGCCAAUUGCAAGUAAAAUGUCAUUUUUGGAGCCUUGGAGCCCAGAAUUGGAUAUGAGGAAGGAAUAGCUUGAUGCUGUCCCAAUUUGGAUUCAAUGAGCUCAUCUACGAUUGCAUUAUUAUAAUGAGGCCUCCUUGAGCAAAUUUGCUAGUUACAAUGGCAGACCUCUGUAUACAGAUAAAUAGACUGCUAAUCAAUCUGGAGUAGCUUAUGCAAGGUAUCUGUGGAGCUAAAAUAGGAGCAGUUAGACCAACAAAGAUUCCUUAUGUGAAUGAAACUAGGAAGCUGGAAUAUUAGGAUGUAGAAUAAGAGUGGAUACCACCUAGUUACACAAAAUGCAAAAAGUUUGGACAUCAGACUCAGGAUUGUCCUAUACAUAUGCUGACAAAGUGGAUACCACUAUCAAGAGUGCAAAGGGAUGAACCUAUGCAGAUCUCUGUUCCAAUUGUGGAUAAGGAAGAGGUGGAAGGUGAUGGGAGAGUAGCAGAAUCAAAUGAGGGAAAAGUAGAGUCGGUUAUUGCAGAAAAGAAAACAUCAAACAAAGGUGAAGUGGUUAAUAGAAGAGCCAGUAGUGUAAACAAACGAUUUCCAAGGGCAAGGAGAAAAUUGAAAUUGAGACACAGAACAUCCAAAAUAGUUACAGCUUACUGGAAGGAGUGGAAGAAUGUCCAGCAGUGGAGAUGAAAGUAGAAAAACUUGGUAGAGGUGCUCAGAAGAAGGUUUGCACUAAACUUUUCUCCCCUACUAUAACAUGAGAUUAUUGUGUUGCAAUGUGAAGGGGCUAAUUGACCCCUUAAAACAAAACUUGAAAAAAUAGUAUACAACCAGUUAUAGUUGGAAUAGUAGAGAAUAAAAUCAAAGAUGUAAAUAUUAACUAUGUCUUUGCACAUUGUUUGCUGUAAUGGAAACACUAUACCAGGAAAUGCCAGUUGUAUUUGGGUAUGCUGGAACGAAUCUGUUAUGAAAUGUGGUCUACUGUCAAGUCACCAGUAGGCUAUAUUAUGUAUUGUGGAUAGCCUUGAAACUCAGCCGUUUGUGGUCACUGCAGUAUAUAGGAAAAAUAAGACAAAGGAAAGAAAGCUCUAUGGCAAAUAAAGCCUCUCAUUGGGGAUAUGCCAUGGUUGAUACUUGGGGAUUUUAAUGCCAUCAGGAAUCAUACAGAAAAGGCUUGGCAGUGAGGAGUUUGAAUAUAAUGCCAUGGAGGAUUUUAAUGUGUUUGCAAAUUAUAGAUGUGGAGGAACAUCCUAGCAGGGGUUUCCUCUACACCUGGUGCAAUAAUAAGGAAGCAUCAGAUAAAAAUAUAGAAUAAUAGAUCAAAUAUUUGCCAAUGAAGCCUGGUAUACUCAGUUUCCUCAUGUUGAAGUGGAAAUGUUGGGACUGGUAUGUCAGAUCACUCUCCCAUCCAAGUGAUAUACAUAGUAGUCAAAGAUUUGGGCCGAAAACUUUCAAAUUCCAAAAAUUUUGGAUGAAACAUAGGAAGUUGAAAUCUACAUUGCUAAGAUCUGGACUAAAACUAUCAGGAGUAAUCCUAUAGUUGCUAUUUGUCAAAAGUUCAAGAGAUUAAACGGGGAAUUGAAACAGUUAAACAAAAUACAUUAUGGCAGAGUUCGUGUGCUGCAGAAGAAAGAACAAAUGCUGGCUACUCAAGCUUUGCUGUAAGAAAAGCCCUUUAAUGAUGAAUCAUAACUCAGGAAAGAUCAUUGAUGGAUGAAUAUUAUGCAUUAUCUCAUGCUGGGGAGGCUUUUUACAAAGCGAAAUCUCGAGUUUUGUGGCAAAAAGAAGGAGAUAAAAACAUUGCUUUUUUUCAUAGAAAGAUGACAACACACAUUGUUCGGAAUAAAAUAUUGAGAGUGUUUGGAUAUGUAAUAUUUGGAUUUUUCCAAAUAAUAUGUGACAAAGGUGUUUGGAUAACAAGACAAAUAACCCAAAUAAGGUUCAAUAUAUAUCUCCCAACAAAUCUCCACAUGGAAUACGUAAUGAAAACCGAUAACAAGAGAUGUUUCAAUAGUUUCCCACGUGGAAAUGACUCCACAAACCCAUUCCUAAGUGUCAUGACCGUUAAAAGCAAAACUCAUAUCAAUUGUUGGCAUGAGACUACACUAAGGGUCUUUUUGGUUGGGUGUAAAAUAUUUUCCCUUGGAAAAUGUUUUCAGUGAAAGUCAUUUUCCAGGAAAAUGAUUUCAUUUUUAUAAUUUCCUGUGUUUGGUUAACCUACUGAAAAUAUUUUCUAAACCCAUUUUCUAGUGUUUGAUUUAAAUGUUCAAGAUACUUUCCUACAGAGCUUAUGGUAAUUGCAAAUACUUCCCAUUUGAUUAUAAUUUUACUUCACUCUUUACCUUUAGAAUUUAUGGUAAUUACAAAUAUUUCUCAUUUGAUUAUAAUUUUACUUCAUUCUUAGCCUUAAAAAAUUAGAAUAUCUGACUUUUUCACAUACUUCCAUUCAUGUUGUACUUUUUCACCAAACUGAUAUUUCAAAUAUGCUACAAAGAAUCAAGUGUUUGCUUUUGCAAACUUAAAAAUGUAUGUAUAGAUUAAGUUAUUUGACAUACUAUUUAGUCACAACACAAUUAAAACUCUUCCAGAAUUGUUGCAUAUAGAAAACUGAGUACUCAUUAUGUAUCCUGUCUUUUUAGUUUUGUCAUUUCACUAAAAAUUUUGCUAGUUGCUCAUGUUCAAAUAUAUGACUAAGACAGUGUGACAAUUAUAGUAACAACAAUAUUGAAACUAAUAGUGUAUGCUCCAGAGUUAUGCACCAUAGUUAUGCUGGCAGACCAGAAGCAGAAGUCCAGAACACCAAUCAAGACAAAUCUAAAUUUAAACAAAACACAAUCACCACUCAUACUCCGAGUAAGUAGUGGCAUUCCCUAGUCCUAGAAAUUACAAGUCAGAUUUUUUUAUUGAUGAAACUAAACUACAUUCACAAAAGGCUUAUAGAUCACCUUGAUAUGACAACAAUGUGUUUUGCAAGAUAUGAAAACAUUCGAGCCAAUCUGUAAAUUACAAGUGACUCAAAAAAAAAAAAAACUUAGCAAGUGACCCCAGACAAGAUAAGACAAGAAAACCAUUACAUCUAAUCGAUAACAACUCAAUUACCAUAUAUUUCUCCUUCAUGUCUACCGACAAACAUCUGGAAGAAUAACUCAAUCAAUAUACUUUUCAAGCCUAUAUUUAUGUUGCUCAAGCAUAAUUGAUACCAUUUGCUUUCUUCAAAGUUGGUUGUUGCAGCUAGGUCAUGUUAACCACAAUAUCUAGCUCUCACCAUUAUCAACCAAAUUUAUGUCCUUUACUCCAAAGUUGUCACAAGUGAUAUUACCAGAUACAACUAGAAUCAUUUGUGCAACAAAGAUGUGUAGAUCUCUUAUCACAUUUCUCUUUCAGGGCCUUGAACAAGUCCUUUGCUAUGAUCUAAAAAGAACAGAGAAAACCAAAAAAAGUUUCCAAAAUUAGUUGACAACAUCUAAAUCAAUACCCUAAACUUAAAUAUAAAUUUAAAAUACGAGAAUGAAAGUAUCCUUUGCAACUUAUACAGCAGUAUCAUACAUCUUCCAUGCUAACCACUCAAGUAUUAAUUAGAAAGGAUAUUUGGCAGUAAUAGAUGUACCAAUUGAAUACAAACAACACAAACUGCGAGUUGCUAAAAUAAGAUGUAUUUAUGUGUUCAAUAAAGCAAUUUGAACAAGAGAGUUUAAAGUCUAUAUUGACCCUUAACCCAACUCUCAGUAAUACUAUUGCAAUUGGAAAAGGAACGUUUGCUGCAUUAUGGAAAAAAUAACUAGAAAGCAAAGUUCAUUAGCACAUAAACUAAUAUACUAAUAGUUUAGACACUAAAGAUUGCUUCUCAUCUACCCUCAAAAGAUUAAAAAAAAAAAGAUAGCUUCUCAUCACCUAAUCUUUCAAUGAAAUAAUAAAAUCAAUACAUGUAGCACUUGUCACUAUCUUACAAGUGAAAUCAUAUCUCAAUUCUCAAGAAUGGAUACCACAAAAUGAGGCAACAGGUUAUAAGAUGGCUUUCCAAUCAAUGGCAUAACUACUACCAGUAUGAAAAAGGGGAACAGAGCAAAGUUUUGCCAAAUAUUCAGAAUACCAAGAGCUUCCGUGGAUUAAAAAAAAGUUUAAAGAUUUUUCAAAGCAAAAUCUCAAAUCCUUAAGAAAAAUUAGUAACGUAAUUCAGAAAUUGUAGCAGCACAACAAAAAGUCGAUAAAUCCCUAAAUUGGAAAACCAAAAUGAAAACCUGUAGACUUGCAUAACGCUGGAGUCUUACCUGAGUCACGUAGCUGUUGCCGUCACCAGAGAUGGAGGUAUUCGUUGGUGAUCUCCCUUCUUUCCACUGUCAAUGUCCUUGAUCGAAAUACAAAAGACAGAGUUGCGUAGUGCCCUUUAGAGGGGGAAAAAGACCCGAGAAUUUUACAUCAUUCGAAUUUGACCUUGGAUCAGUCCCUUCGCCGGAGAUGGAGGUUGUUGUUGGUGACCUCUCUGUCUCUUCCGAUGUAUGUCUCCUUGAUCAAAAAGAGCCCACUCAGAGACACUCAAUUAAAAGAAAAUAACUUCAGUAACUCGCGAGGGUAAGUUGUUUUUCGCCUUUUUGAAGGAAAAUUUUUUCCCCUGCAAAUAUUUUCCCUACUUAAUUAAGAGCCAAACAACAGAAAAUGUAGAAAAUAUUUUUCGGAAAACAUUUUACAUCAAACAAACACACCCUAAGUACAGUAAGUUUUUUGUACCGUUGCUUCCUAUUGUUGGAGCAACUCAAUAAAGGAAAGCUAAAACUGCUCCUACUUGUCCUCUUUAGAGAAUUUAUUCGCAUGCAGUAUCCUCUUACACUUUCAUAACUUUGUCUUCUCCAAUCAACAACUGCAAAAGCUAUUUUGGGCUUUCAACCUCAGGCUAUUGCUAGCAAAAUCUACCAAAGGAUUCGAUUUCUCUGCUAAUGAUCUGAAAGGGAAUUGAUUCCCUGUGUACGCAUAAAGGGUGGAAACGUAUUAUAAAAGUCUGGCCUUGGGUUUAGAUGUGCAAAAAGACCAAGAACUGCUGGACAAGGAGAGUGAUGGAUUGGGAUUGAAAUACCGGUCAUUGGGUGUGGCCGGUCUCUAACCUCUGUCCCACGGUAAGGAAAUGAGCUACUGAACGAAAUUUUCCUCAAUUCACUUGCCCUAACCCUGCCUGUUAUGUGUACAUCGGUUAGUAAUUUCUAUUUCUGAAGUUUUAUUACCCUUACUAUUUCCUCAAUUUGAUUGCAAUUGUUGUAUGUAAAAGAAAAUCAAUUGAAUAGGAAGCUUGUUUGUAUAACUCCAAACACAUGAAAUUAGGAACUUGGAUGUUCUUAGGGUUUUUUGGAUUUCUACAUUCAUGCAUUUAUUUUUGAAUUAAGUAUAAGCAAUUGAUAUUCAUGGUCAAUAUGAUAAUCUCGCUUCUCUUCAGUUUCUUAUUCAUUGUCCCCUUCCAAUAUGCUUUAAUAAUUGGACAUAAUUUUUUCGUUAAGCAUGCUGACUUUUGAAGACAAUUUGCCUCUGAAUUAUAUACAAUUGACAUAAAACUAUGUGAAAUAGGAACAAUCAAUUGGUUCUGAUACAGAGGGUGGUAUGAAAAAACACCUAUAAACCCAAUCAAAGAGUUGAGACUGGACUUUAAACCUACUACUUAGCGAUGCAAAUUUUUAGCUUUGCAGUCGAUAACGCUUCAUCUAAAGAACAUACAUAUGUAAAAUCAGAGGCAGAGACAUAUAGGUUGACAAAUUUUAUUGGUGUCCUGUUUGGUUUCCUGUGUUGUGAAAAAGUGAUGUUGCUAGACAACCACUUUGCUAAUUGAUUUAGUUUGCUUUUUUAGAUUGCAAACUUUUGUAAAUUUACUUGUGUCUGGAUAGAGAGACCAAGAAGUAUUUCCUGUAUUUGUCAUCCCUGACAUUUUAUGGUUUUGCUUUUAUGAAUUUCUUAUGGACAUCCUUCUCUCCUUGUUUUUAUCAUAUUUUCUGUGAACCCAAACUGUAAAGUUGUAUGCCCUGUCAAAUGAAAGUGUUCAUGCCCAAGAGAAAAAGAAGAAACCAAGUUCACCAACUGGUAAGACAUUCCACUAUUACAAUUCAUUCUAAUACAUCCUUUCUCCACAGAUACUCACAUAAUGAAGCUUUGGUUAUAAUUUCCAUUAUUGUUCAGAAUCCUCAUCUAGCCCUUAUUCUUUUGUUAGUGUCCAUUCUGCGUACGACUCAAACGACUUUGACGUCAGCCUAAUAAAUUACUUUGAGGUGGGAUAUUUUGUUGGCUAAAUCUACGAAUUUGGUGAUUGUGCAUACAACAUGUUACUAUUUUUUUAAGUACUUGUUUGUUUAUCCAUAGAUGUUUGAUAAAAAAAUAUUUGCUAGAUUAGGAGGAGGACCUCUAUGUUCGCACCUACAUAGAAUGGCAGAAAAAUGGAAAAUGGGAGCUGACCUAUAGCAUGUUGGCAAACUACACAGCAAUGACCAUUUACUUAACCUAAGAAUGUGGGGUCAAUUGUACAGGAAUUCAAUGCCAGUUCAAGUACUAUCGAAUGGUGGAUAAGUAGAGGUUGUUCACUCAUCUCCGGGGAGAUUCUGCCAAGCCAGAGACAGGGAUAGGGUGGGAUGCUAAGCAUAAAUGCUUUUUAAUAGGAGCAGAUCAAUGUGCAUAUUUGUACCAGGUAUAAAUAUUUUAUAUGCUAUAUAUUCUCCCCGUCUACUCAGCACCUAUAGUUACUAGGUGACUUAGCCGGCAUUCUGAUGUAGCUAAAUUUGCAUCCUUUUGUGGCUGAUAAUAUGCAAAACACGUGUUCAUUUCUAAAAAGGAAAUUUAGUUGCUGAUUUUUCCUUUAGCCAUUUAGUCAUAACAAAUGGUUGCUCCAAAUUAUAGAAAGUGUCUGAUUUUACUAGUUUUGUAGAUUUAUUUUCUUAUUAUAAUUUAAUUUUGAGGUCGUAUACCAUGUCAUGUCAUAGUACCAAUUAUUUUUACUUGUUUAUGGCUGUGUGUAUUUGCAAUCAAUUCUAACUUAUUGGCUUGGAAUGAUACUUUAUUUUAAUGGCAGUUGUAUGAUUUAAAAAAAAUUGUCCCUUUACUUGUGUUUAAUUCUACUUCACCAUAAUUUUUUAGCAUACAAUAAUUUUGGUUCAUAUAUUGCUGAAUGAUUUAAGUGGAGGUUGAUAAUUUUAUAUGUCAUAAAAAAUGACUAAAGGACUUGUCAUUCAUUUUUGUUAAUUUUGUGUGUCUAAAAGAGUGGAAGUUGUUGGAUGAUAUCAAAUUGUAUACUAACAUUACCAGUCACCUAUUGCAUGUUAUGGAAGUGCAACUAAUUUACAUUAAUCACAACUAUUGUUGAGGUUUGUGGUGUUUUUUUUUAAAAAAAAAUUACUACUGUUUUAAUUUGUCAACAGUUUCUUAUCUUUUUUUUCAAUUUAAUUUCCUGAGUGCUUAUCUUAUUUGUCUCACCUAUCCUAACGUUACAUAGACAUGUGAUUAACCUUAUGUACUAUAAUAUAGUUGCAAGCUGGUAAUCACAUUUAUGAGUAAAACUGGAAUGCGACUUGCUUUUCACUUGACAUUCUAAGCACCUUUAAAUAUUAAUUAUGAAUCUCACAACUUGUUAUUUGAACAAUAGCUAAACCGGCAAUAUCUAGAUUUUUAACAUCCAAAUAGUGCUGAUUUGUUGAUGAAGUGGGAUGAGGUGAUGAAUGGCAAACAUGCCAUUGGCAAUCGAGUUUAGUUUUCAACCCAAACCUCACCCCAAUACGAGCCUCCCCGAGUAUGGAGAUGUAAAGAAGAUUUUACUAGCAAAGGGAAAAGCGUGGUUUUAACCUCUAUUAUUGACCCUCCAAUCACUUUGUUUCAUCUAAUGGUGAUGGCAACCCUGUUUUAAGAAAUCUCAAUAAGUGACUAAUAUCCAGCACUGCCUACAGUUUUGAGAAGAAGGGAUCAAGAGAUUCGAAGUCCCGAAUGUCAGAUUCGAAUAACUACCAAAAGGCACUUAGCAAUUUCAACAAAUUCUCCUCCAUUGUUUCAAAUGAAAGAGAGGCAAAGGAGAAAUAUUCAAUAGAAGUAGUCAAAAAGGCUAUGGAAAGCUUAAAUUUAGAGAGGAGGCUACAAAUGUUUCUAUUAAAAGAGUUGUUAAAUGAAGAGUUCUAUUUUUUAUUCCUUAGCUUCAGUGACAGUAAGUAGAUGACAUGGUAGAGAUGUUCAUCAUUCCGAAAAUUGAGGGAAAGUGAGGAAAUUCAAAACUUUUAACUUGUACAAUUAGAUUGUUGGUUUGUUAUGAUCCAAGACUUUUAUAAUUGAUAUUUAUCGGUUUGUAUUCGUAAUGUAGUGGUUGUUCAUGGUAGCGGUCCACCAUAUUUGUUUCGGUUUGCCAUUUUCUUGUUAACAUGUAUUUCGACUACUGUUAUUUACCCAAUUGUUCAUUUUUAACUUAUUCAAGUUUAGUAGCAUGGUUUAAUCAUCUUAUGCUUUUCUAGCCAUGAGUCUUUAGACCGUACGAAUUGACAGUGAUGUACAUUUGCUAAUUUUAUAUAAUUUUGGUGUAACUUAGUUUAUUAUUUCACUACUUAUUCCUACUUAUAGUUUAGAUGUGUUGUCAAUAGAUUCAUAGCAGAUGUAAUUGCCAACUGUCCUCUCAUCUCAAAUCUCUUAUUUUGAGAUGUUUUUAUUCUUAUAUAACAUGUAUUUUAACUAUAGUAGACCAAACCUUGGAGUAUAAUGUGUUCAUUUGGCUGGCUCUACAAAAUUAAUUGCUUGUUGGGUAAUGGAAGCAAUUGCCAAGUGGGCCACUGCAUAGCCAUAGAUCCACGGUAGAAGUCUUACUUAAGAGGUAAACGGUAACAUUUCACCAAUUUGGUGUGAUAUUUUUAUUUUUCCUUCAUAGGAGUACAAUGAAUACUGAAUCUUCCACAUGUGAAUAAAUCCAAUGGGUACUUGUCCUUUUUAUAUAUAAAAAAUAGAGCCUUUUUUGUCAGUUAUAGCUGCACCCUUCCUUUAAAAUGUAGUAGAGUAAAGUCUUGUCAUGCAUUCACGUUCCACCAGACAUCCUACUGUCAUCCAUGCAUAACCACCCGAUAUUUGUUGCAUUUUAGGCUAAUUUAUUUGUUAGCUGCAUCCAAAUUUCUCCCAAUUUUUACAUGGCCAACUUCAUCCCAUGUUAACAAGAAAUACAUGUUAAAUAAUAGAAGCGAAACAUUGGGUAAAUAACAGUAGUCGAAAUACAUGUUACUAAACUUACUAAACGGUGCAGCUAACAUGUAUUGCUGCACCAUUGAGAAUUGAACCAUGCUAUUGCUGCACUAUUAAGAAUUAAACCAUUGAGAAUUUCUCAAUAUAGCUAGUUUAGUAGCAUGGUUUAAUUCUCAAUGGUGCAGUAUCACUUCUAGUGUAAAUAACAAUAGUCGAAAUACAUGUUACUAAACUUACUAAACAUUGGGUAAAUCAUCUUAUGCUUUUCUAGCAUGGCUCCAGCUUUCAAGAAGAUGACAAGGUAAUUCUCAAUGGUGCAGCAAUACUGCUUUUUACACUAGAAAUGAAACAUUAUUAUGAGACUUUUAUCAAAGUAUCUUGCCAAAACGGAGAUAUGCCUGAUUGGAAGUGGGUGCAGUAGCUAAUAACGGGUCACCCUCUACGUAUAUUGGAGAAUUAUAGAAUAACAAUUGAUAAUUUCAUGAGACUUUGUGAAAUUCUUGUGCAAAAUAACUACGUUUUGCAAAAUCCUCACAAGCGUGUAUCAAUCGAGAAGUCGCUGGCCACGACACUAGUUAUGUUGAGUCAUUAUAUGCACACUCAUGUUGUGAUUGAGAGAUUUCAACAUUCAACAAAACCAUCCACAGAAAUGUAGUGGAUGUAAUCUUGGAACUAUGUAGAUUUGCACAAAGGAUUAUUCGACCAAAACAAACAAAUAGAGUGCCUUCACGAAUAAGAUAUAGCACCAAAUAUUAUCAUUGGUUCAAGGUUAGAGAUGGCCAAACUGUAUCACAACACGUUUUAUAUGUAUUGGUUCUUGGGAUUCGAUUCCUUGUCGAAAUAUUUUUCUAAUGUCAACAUUUUUAAAAAUUAGAAAAUGACUUAGCCCCUUUAGUAAGGCAUAGAAAAUGCGUAAUCAGUAAAUCAUAAGAAUUUCAAUCGCUUGCUUAAAGCAAAAUAUGGUAGCAUACUACAUCUUGGAAGCUUUUCGAUUUUCUGGUAUUGACUAUCAAAUAUUGUAUAAAAUAUAGGAUGCCAUAGGUGUUUUGGAUGGCACUCGUAUCCCUGCUUCGAUUCCAACACAAAACAAAUGGCCUACACUAAUCGGUAUGGGACACAAUCGAAAAACGUUUUAAUUGUAUGUGAUCAUGAUAUGUGAUUCAUUUAUGUGUAUGCCGAAUGGAAAGAUGGCGCACACGAUGCAUGCGUAUUAGAAAGUGCACUAAGAAUACACACCGACUUCCCAGUUCCUUCCCCAGGUUCGAAUUCUACUCUUAUUUCAUGUACUAAAUAUCACCAAGUGACAUAUUUUUCUAUUUCAAACAGCAUAGAUUUAAAAAAAUAUAUCGUAUUUCAAUUUUUAUGCACGUAGGUAAGUACUACCUCGUCGACGUGGCUUAUAAGAUGGUGUCAAAAUUUUAACACCAUUCAAGGGAGGACGUAAUACAGGAGUUGGACAAGGACGUGGUGAGACCAAGGGUCGAAGGAGCUAUUCAAUACCCACCACUCUCGACUUCAUAAUAUAAUUGAACGCACUUUCAGUGUCUUGAAGCAACGAUUCGCCUAUUUGAAGGGUCCGGUUCCAUAUUCAUAUAUGCAAGAGCAGAUCAAUGUAGUGAUAGUGUGUUGUGCAUUGCACAAUUUUUUUAAGAAAAAUUAAUCUUCGGAUGAUCACUUCAUGGAGUAUGAACAAGAGGACAUACAAGUCGAAAGCAAAAAGAUGGAGUUGGUCCAUACCCACAGAUACAACCAUUGGUAGUGUCCCCACAGGAAAUAGAAGUUUGGAAGGCAAUGAUAGAAGAAAUUGCUAAUUAAAUGCAUGUCAUAUCACGAAGAUGGAGACAGUAGUUGAAUGACGUUAUUGCCAUUAUAUUACAAAUAAUGACGAAAGAAGUUUUGCAGCUUGUACAUAAAAAUCGAAAGAUACGGACGAUGAUAUCAGUGGAUGUCUACAAUUUCAUAAUAAACUCAUUAAUGCCGGGAUAGUGUACUACUAGAAACUUAUUAAUGCAGUGAAAUAGGAGAUGCGAUUUUCUUGUUAGCGCAACAAAUUUUGUACUGUCUAUUGCUUUAAUCCUGUAUUUCCUGUACGAUGCACUCUAUUUGAAGUUGUUGUUAUAUUGGUGGUAUAGCACCAAAUGUAAUAGAAGAAGUUUUUGGAGUGUUAUGUUGUUAUUUGCUACAUGAAGGCGGCAAAUUUCACUUCGCUACUAUGGUGGAUCAUAUACUCUACCCAUGCAAGUUUGCAUAUCAAGUAGAAUAGAUAAAAUAGAUCCUAACCAUUUAUAUUCAAUAUAACCAACGACAGUUGUAGCUGUGACAGCCCCACCUUCCCUAGGGCGUACCCCAAGGGUUAGCGAAUUGCCUGCCCAACUCUCGCCUACGAAGUCAAAUCACUCGAAAAUCCUACAUAACGCGCGAUAGAACCGCAAGAAAAAGAACAAUCGAAAACUAAUCUAAACACGAUUACCAAACCAUAUGGUACAAUAGGACUUCGAUUAAACGCUCCAACGAAGACCGAAAAGAACAAGUGCCACGUCAGAAUCCAGCCAAAAGUUGGCCGGAUAUUCGGCUGGAUUGGUGGCCGGAUUCAAGGCAGUGAGCAAAAAUGAAAAUUUCAACUUCUCCUGUCAAUCCGGCCAAGUAUUCGGCCAAGAAUUGGCUGGAUAUACGGCCGGAUUUCCUGCAUCAGCUUCCCGCCAAAUUUCAAUUUUUUUCUCGUUCAAGUUCCGCACCGCUCAAAUUCCCAACGAACACCAAAAGAGUUCACAUAACCAUAGAAAUAUACAAUCUCAAAUGAAUCCUAUUGAAACUCAUGAUUAAACACUUAGAUAUAUAUACAUCGGAAUCUUCAACAAAUGAAAUUGAAGUACAAGCCAUAAUAUCCAUACUUAUACAAAAUACAAUUAGGAUUUUGCCAGUACAGAGGAGCUUAAUCAAAAGAAGGUCUAUAAUUAGUUCUACUCUUUUCUUCAAAAAUCACGGUUUCAAAACAUUGAACCCUGUAAGGAAAACAAAGAUAACGGGGUGAGUUUACGCUCAAUGAGGUACCACAAGUACAAGUAGUCAAGAAUCAUGAAAUUUCACUUUUAAUCAAUCAAAUAUACACACCAAAUAAGGAAAUGAAUACACAUCUCAAAUAGCAAGGAUACAGAUGGCUCUCAAGUACCAAUUCCUCUUUUACAUCACUAGAGCUUGAUCAAGUAGUAGUUGACACUCUGUCAACUUUCAAGUAAGCAACCAGUUCAGUAGAGCACCACUUUACACCAAAUUUCGUCCACCAAAUAUACCCCUUACAGGGCCCGAAUGCCUCAACAGGAACAGAGAUGGUAAUACUCGAGUAUACCAGAAAUUCAGAGUCUCCAAUACUCAAAAAUUCCAAAGAAACAGGCCCCAUGGCUUGUUAAUUUUUUUCGACCAAGCCCCUUGCUAACUCGAUUCAAUUAACUACCAAUGGGGUUCAGCUCAGAUUUAACAGAAAGGUCGUUGGAUACAAGCCUCCAAACGACAUCAGAUCAUGCACAAGUAACAGAUUCAGAUGUAUACAGGAACCAGUCAAACAGGCGAGAGAGCGAGUGUGAUAAAGUAUACUCUCGUCUCAUUCAAAAUAAAUAGAGGUAACAAUUAUUCAAGUCACAGAUUACAGGUACAAGUAAAUCAAUUUAAGCAACAAGUCAUGUGAGUGGUACACUCACUAGUCAAGUAAAAGGACUUCAAAAGUUUCCACCCAAGAUAUGCCCUUGAUCACGCAACUACAAUCUUAAAACAAAAAUUUUCGUUGAAAUGAAAUUUCUAUUGGGAAGGAUGAAAGAAAGAAGAAAAAGAAAAAGAAAUAAAAGAAAGGAAAACAAUUUCAUCUUAUGAUAUUUUCUUGAGAAUAAAACGAAAAACUAGAAAGGAAAGAGAAAAAUCCAAAAUUAAAAGAAUUGAAAGGCUAAAAAAAUUGUAUUUUAAAAAAGUGAUUUGAAUAUUUUUUUAAUCAUUUAAGGAGAAGAUAGAUCUCUACAAUUCCUCUUUUUUAAUUUCAAACAUUAAGGUGAAGAUUUUGUGGGAAAGAGGACAAAUUAAAUAAAGAAGAAAGAGAAAAAGAAAUAAAAGAAAGGAAAACAAGGUAAAUGAAAAGUCAAAAUAAUGCAAGGGCAAUUUUGUCCUAAAGGGGGUUAAGUGAGCAAAAUUAAAGGUUAGGGGGUAAACUGAAAAAUGAGAUAUUCUUUAAGGGGAUAAAAUGUGAUUAACCCUUUUCUUGCUUUCUUUUCUUCGAGUCUCAUCUUUUACAAAUUUCGUGACCUUUUCAAAAAGUCACUUUUGGACAUCGCAAUUAAUGCGAUUAGCACCAAUCAAGCUUUGAAAAGACAUAUUGACCCUUUUUAUAGCCUUUAGGUCUAGGUUUGCAUUUCAUAUAGUAACGUUCAAAUGUGAUAAAUCUAGGUUAGGUGGAAAAGGUACUUUGAAUUUUAUUCUUGCAUUCCCUUUUUUCGAACGUGACUCCCGAAUACUUUUCUCUGAUUUUCGAAGACUUGGAGUCCUUUAAAAGGGGAUUUUUUUACUUUUUCUUUAAAAAAUUCAUUUUAGGUGACUUAGUACACCUUAACUCAAUACCAAGUGGCGACUCCUAUUUAAAAAAAAAAACCCUUUUUAAACUAUUAUUUUGAGCCAAAAUCGUCGCACUUUAAGUCCCAUUUAGGCCCAUUUCUCUUUCUUUAUUUUCUAAAAAUAAAAAAUCAUUUACAAUCAAAAUUAAAUCAAAAUUCAUUUUUAUAAACUCGUAAAUCUUAAUUUUAUUUUUUUGCAAAAAUGGGGUGCGACACAUACAUGUAUGAGUAGUAUGAUAACCUCCACAUAAGUCACAAAUCAUAUGAUUAGAAUUAAAAGCAUUAGCAUUCCUCCUUUGCUCAAGCAUAUUCAUAAUGGUGUCCAUUUGAAUUUUUAACGUUAUAACAUCAAGUUUAGCCUUUAACCUCCUGAAACCAUCUUCAAAUGACAUAUCUUCGGUAAUUUCAUGGUUACCUCUAUCUAUGGAGCUUUGCAUGUAGUAACCAUCCAUUGCCGAUCUUUCACUUUUCAUGCAUUGUUCUCCAUAUUAACCUACUUUCCUUAUCACCUAAAAUUACUUUUAAACAAUCUCAAAAGUAAGACUAGUCAAGAAGGAUAGCUUAAAAGACACAAACUAAAAUAGAAAACCAAAAAAAUGACUAAACAAAAUACUAAAAAUGACAUAAAACACAUAAGACACAGCAAAAACAACAAAAACAAGAAAAAUUGUCUAAAUUAAUAAAGUUGCUCUUAGCACUGAUAUUGACAAAUCUUCCCCGACAACGACGCUAAAAACUUGGUGCGCGCAGGGUAUAUAUAUACAAUUAACUCAUCCACAAUCAAGUUUUACAUUUAUAAAUCCUAAAUACCCCACACGCGAUUUUUCGCAAGUAUACGAAUCGAGAGCGAGUAUAGGGUAUUAAGAGUCGGACCCACAAGGAAGAUUUUCAAUUACCGAUCCUUUUCGAAUUCCUUUAUUAUUUAGACUAUAAGCAUGAAGUAAAAGUGAUAAAAUUAACACUAGAAAUCUCCUAAAGAUAUGAAAUUCCUUACUACACUUGCAAAUGAGAUUACCGGUUAAGUGAAUGCUAUUAUCUUGGCUAGUUAUGGCGUAAUUUUCUAAUAUAUGUGAAACCUACUCUCGUAGUGAAUUAACUAUACUUGUAACUAAACUAUACUUACUCUCGUGGUUAUGAAUCAACUACAAACUCAUUUUUUCAACGAAAUUAUAUAAAACAAGUCACUAAGCCACAUAUGUGCACCUCUACUCUCGUGAGUGUACUCCCUAAAUUUAUCGUUUCCUUGAACUAGUGCUUUUGUAAACUUAAUACCUUAAGAUAAUCACAAUUAAUGAUCGGUUAAUCAUGAUUAGAAAAGCAAAAGUGAUAAAUAACUUGCUCAAAAAGUAAACUUCACUAACAAGCUAUAGCAAGUUCAUCCAUAACUUUUGGCAUAAACUUUAACUAAAUAUGAAAAUAAGAUCCAAACUUGUAUUAUAGUUAAACAUGAAUUUAAAUACAAAAGAGAAAGUGAUUAGGAGAGAAGUCACCCUUGUCACAUGAGCUUCAACUCUCCAUCUUUGCUCCUCCAAUCUUCAUCCAAAUCUAACUACAAAUAUAAGAUGGAUAAACUACACUACCUAUACUAUACUAUUCUAACUAAUGAACUAAGGAAACUCUAGUGAAAACUAUAUUUUGGUGGAGUUUCUCUAGCCUUCCAAAGUUGUUCAAAUGUCCUCCAAAGGCUGCUAUUUAUAGAAGAUUCAAGAGCCAAAUGAGUUGUUUCCAGUUGUCAUUUUUGACUCUUGAAACUCUCAUGAGUUGUCUUUCCAACUUUCCAACCUUUUCUUGAUCAGAUAUAGCUGGAAUUGAUAGCUAGAAUUGAGCUAGAAAAGUUGUGUGAAAGAUGAGCAAGUUGCAGAAAACAGAAGAGAAUACACGACUUUGGAAUACGCGACUUCAAGCCACGUAUUCAUGAAGUUGCGUUUUCACUUCUGUGAAUUUGGUACCAUUUCAACUGUUAUUUUCUUGAGAAUGGAGGCAGAACUAACUCUUGUGAAAAAUAUGAAAGUUGUAGCUCUUUGAGUUAGCUUUCCAAUGACUCAAGAACCAUCCCAUUUGGAGCUCUGUGGAAUGAGAAAUGACCAAAAUACUCUCAACUAAUCAGAGCUCUGUUUCAGCUUUCGACAACAGAGUUGCACUUCUGUAUUUUGACUUUUUGACAAGGAAAACGACUGAACUGGACUUCAAUGUCUUCAUAACAAAUGUAGAUCUAUAUUUUAGCUUCAAAAUGUAUAAGAAUCACCUCAAUCCAAUGCCUGUAACUCAAGAUAUUACCGAAAUAUCACAAGGUGUAAAAGCUGUGAAACUUGCUUCCUUUCGUUCUUGAUUGCAUUUCCUCUUUUGCACUUCAUAUUCUCUUUUUAUCGCUUCAAACCAUCUUUAAUCAUCCAAUUAUCUUCUCAAUUCAUGCCAUGUGAUGAUUGAAUCAUCAAACCUACAAAAAACAUGAAGCUUUCACCAUUAAAAUCUAUAGAAAUGCAAUUUUUACACUUUAAAUCAUAAAAUGCAUAUUUUCACUAUAAACCUAGUUCAUUAGCCUUUUUUUUGUUACAAAGAAUAAAAAAGUUUACCAAUAGAUGAAUCUUGUUUGCUAGAAAGUGUUUAGCUCAUCAAGUUUGUCACAAAAACUAAGGGUUCUCAUGGAUAAGGUGUUUUAUGGGGCAUUUUUUUUUAAAAUCACACCGCAGCACACCAGUCGAAUGCAUAAUUAGGAAGUAGGUCAUAUAGAAAGUAAAACAGCGAGGCAAUCUUUAGCCUACCAUCCUUGAAACAACUAUCGUUUGAGAAGAAUCCCAAUAGCUCUUCCACCAAGUCCUUUUGCCGAAGGGUUCAAUUUCGAUCAACCAAAGUAACCGGUAAACCAUGCACAUGAACGUUACAUAAUACCUCCACAUCCCAUGAGCUGACAUUGUUACCCGGGGGAAAAAAAAUAGCCCUUUGCAUUGUAAUCCAUUAGAUGCAAUAAUAAUAAUGAUGAUGAUUAGCUAGAAAACUAAAUAAAACAUACCAAAACUAAUUAAUAAAACACACUAAAAACACGUAAAAUAUACUCUUUUCAGUCAUCAUUCAUAUCUAAGUACUCAUCUCUUCCAAGUAUUUUGCACCUCGUGUGUAGUAGUAGAUUAACAUUUUUAGGCAUUUCAUGCAAUGCCUUCUCAGCAACAUCAUUUAAUAAAUCAAUGUACAAGUAACUCUAGAGAUUUACAUUGGGCACUCUUACUUUUCUUCCCAUAAAAUAGAGCAUAAUAUCAUGAAUAUCAGUGUUAACCAUCCUACAAUAUUAGUUACUGAAGUUACAGAGCAUACAUCAGCUUUCUAAGCACAGAGAUUUGGCAUCUUACUACAUGAAACAACCAAAGUCAUACGAGAAACAUAGAAUCAAGUAAGCAUAUUCUGGUAAAGGCUACUCAAAGCAACUCAUAUAACAAACCAAAAAAUCAUAUUAAACAUGUAUCAAGCUUACACAAACAACAACCUGAUCAACAUAGGCUGCCAAGGAAUAUUGAAACAUUCCAAAAUUCUUAAACAUUAACUUGGUACAGCCUUAACGAGCUAAGAAACUCUUCAUCGAAGGUGAGAAUCAAGAGCUUUGUUAUGCCAUGUAUCAAGCUAACUUGUGCAGGUAUAUCAACAAUGGCUGGAAGAGUCCAUCUGAAGUGACUAUAUGUACCUGCAGCUUUCUAUAUGUACCAACUGGCGCCUAAAUUUGGCACCAUUUUGCUGAAGGCUUUUUAUAUAUUCAUUAAAGGAAUUUAAAUUAUUGGUAAUUACAUUAACUGUGUUUAUAACUAACUUAACAAAAUUUGUCCAAAUAAACAUAAAAUAUCUGCUAACUUGUGUAGAUAUUUAGUCUUUUCGGUCCAUGAUGAUGUAAGCAAUGGGACUCAAAAUUCUGUCAGAGAAGGUCUAUGAUAUUUUGGAAACCUCAGGAGAGGGGAGUAAGAUUGUCAGAAAUCUCAGGGGUAUCUGAAAUUUUCCCUUUUUUCAACUGAAACUUCGGGUGUUAAGAAUAACAUUUGAAAGCUAGUUUUACUGAAUUCCUUACUUUAAUGAAUUCCAUCUCACCUAUUACUCAAAAAUCAUUUCAAGAAAAUUUUCUCUACUCUUGUAUCAUUCUUUGAAAAUACUAGCCGCUCAAUCAUGCAUUCAAGCCAAUCGCAUACAAUAAGAAACGAAAAAAGUCAACAAAAAAAAAGAGAUUUGCAAGCUAGCUCCUUUUGAUCACUGUCAUGUUCUUUGGAGGAGGAUUGUCAACUCGAGAAGACUAAUAAAUUUUAUCUUAAGGUCACAUUCUAAGCUAUGAGCUCAUUAUUCCUUCUAAUAUAUAAGAAAAAAGUUUGUCACUUAAAAGUAUGCGAAUUUUAUUACAACUUGGAGGAAUUGAAUGAUGAGUUUUACAAAUCUGAAGUGAAUGGUUAUAAAAAUUUAAGUUUUGGUGGUUGUUGGCUACCAUCAAAGACUUUAAAUUUUAGUGGAGUGAAAAAUCAAGGGUUCAAAACUUACCUUUCAUUAAUGUGCCACUAUAUGUGGCUUCUUUUAAGUCCAUGUGGGUGCGUAGUGCACCCGUUUGAUCCGAUGAUAAUUUAGUCCUCGUCGAUUUUUCUAGACCCGUUGGGCCUCUCCCCCUAGUGUAGGCUAGAGGAGUAGAUUAGGCUACCUGUUGCGGUCUAAUAAAACAAUGGUUAUAAAAAUUUACUUCCGGUGCCUCUACCUUGAAUGUUAUAUUUGAAGCGUAUGAUGGCCAUAUAAAAUUUUGGUGCAAAAAGCAUUUGGUUUCGCAUAAUAAUUUUAAUCUGAAGGAUGCAUAUAAUCAAAUGAAACUUUCUGGUAUGCCCAAGUCUAAGAAACCUGAUUUGAAUGAUUUAAGUGAUGAUCAUCAUGUUAUUUGCCGUGGUAUCAUUUUUGAAAUUUUGCUACCUAGGAAGAUGAAGGAAACAAAUCAACAAGGCAAUAAAAUAAUUUUAAAAAUUUAUUUUCAUCCUAUGAAUCUUUUUGUAAAUUUUAUGGAUAAAUCAAGUGGGUUCAUGAAGAAUAUCUCAAAGAUGCUAGUUUUUUCACCACUUUUAAAAGGCUAUAGGAUGCGUACCACCAAACUAGUGAUAGUCCACACAAAUAAUACCUCAAGGAAUCGUUUAAGAAUAGAUUGAACUAAGCAAGAUAAGUGCUAACUCUUUACCCAAAUCAUUUUUAAGGAUGAGAGAGCAAGAAAAAAAAAACUUUCCUUUUCUUCGUUGGUAUUCAACAAAGAGGAGGGAGACAAAGCCUUCCACUUCAAAUUAGAAUGGCUUGUUUGGUCUUCAAUGAAGUAUUUAUAAGCAUAACCCAACCCAAAAAAAGUUUAAAUAUUUGCACCAUACCUCUUGAGUUAAUUAACGUUUAUAAACUAACUUAUAAGUGUCUCAUACUUAUCUUAUUCAGUCUUCACUUAAUAUCUUUUUAAUUUGUUGAGUUUGUUGUCGUUUAUGUGUAUGACCCAUUAGGUUUUCAUAUCAUAUUGGUAAUAAAUAUGUAUUACAAUCAUUUGAAAAGAAGUAGAUAAAUUAAACUCCUUUGAUUUAUUGUUCAUUUGACUAAUUAAUCAAUUCAUAUUUAUAGAUCAAUAUAGACAUUUAACAAUGCAUCAUGAUCACCCAAGUAAUGAGAAAGUUAAGUGAUUUGAUUUUACCUUUCUACGAAUGAUUGCUAUAUAAUUAUCAUCUCUUCACCUUAACUAUAUCCUGAUUAGUAUAGAAGUACGGAAUCUAUACUGACUUCCAUAAAGGUUAAUUACUUUUUCAUUCUCAAAAUAUAAUUAUCUUGAAAUUGAAAUUGGACACGCUUCAAAUUUCAAUUUCAAGAUAAUGGUUGCGAGAUUGUAAAGAGGAAGUUAGGUGAUUCUCUUUGGAAAGCUGCAAAUUUUGGUGACUUGAAACCAAUUGGAAAAUUGUCGAAGUUCGUACUUGCCACAGUGGUCUUGAUGCAAUUCCAGAAUGCAUGAAUGUUUGGAAGAGAAUGUUCCAUGUGAACUUCAAUAAAUUACAGUGGUCUUUGUUUGCAGCUUAAGCUUGUGAAGUGAAUUUGCCAAUUUGGUAAUGUCUUGGGAUAAGUUGCUGCCUACAGCCUACUCACGUCGGGUAUUUGAUUUGGAAGCAUUUGUAUUUGGCAAUUAAUGACCUUCUCUAACUAAGUACUAAUUAUUUCCAAUGUUUUAAAACUAGGACUGUUAAUUGAAGCAGUGAGAUAUUUGGAUCACAAUUCAACUGAUUGGAUUGGUUCAACUCUGGUUCAAUGAAUUUUUUAAAAAUAAUUUAUAUAAAUAUAUGUGCACAAAAUAAGACAACCAAUGGAUUAAUUUAAGACUUUAUAUAAUGAAAGGUUAAAUAUUUUCAAAGAACUUGGAUUUUCACAAAUAUGUUUUUAAUUAAGUUCAAAUAAAUAAAUUUCAUCUCAAUAUCAAUUGGAUCUACCAAAAAUAUAAUGUUAAAUCCAACCCCAAAAAUACCACAAUAUUUUGAAAUUAUACAAAAUUCAUGUUUUUUAGAAUUAGACAUUGUGAGUUUAAAUUUAAAUCACAUUUUUGAGAAUUAGAGAUUGGAACUUUAAAAAAAAAAAAAGAAGAUUAGAGUUUGGAGGAAGUUAGGAAAAUAGAAAAUAAGAUGCAAACUUAAUAAGAGGCAGAAAAUGAAUAGGUGUGUGGCAUUUAAUGAUUAGUUCGUAGGGUUGAUAAAACUUGGGUAGACCCGGUCUAUAUAGAUUUUGUAGUUCAAAAUUUGUCACACCAUCUCACCAAUUCAAGUAUUGAAGAUGUUGUAAAAUUUGGACCACCAAUUCUACUCAAGUUUUUGCCUUUAGUGUUAAGGAAAACCCAUUCUUUUUAUUUUUUAAAUUUCAGUUUAAUAGAUAAAACAAAAAAUUGACGGUUCAACGGUUCAUUUUGAUUCAAACGAUUUGCACAGUUCGAUCUGUUAAUAUCAAUUUUUAAGUUCAAUCAAUGCAAAGUAUGUACCAAACCGAAGCUAUGAAUGGUCGUGAAUAUUGCAUAGUUGCAUCUGCAAAAACCAAUCUGCCUUCAUCCCUGGUAGGCAAAUUUUGGACAACAUUAUGCUUUCUCAUGAAUAUUUGCACUAUCUAAAAAAUAAAAGGCAAGGUAAGGACGGGUUCAUGGCUGUGAAGCUGGACAUGUCCAAAGCUUAUGACAGAGUAGAAUGGAGCUUCUUGGAUGCAAUGAUGGCCAAAAUGGGAUUCCACAACAAAUGGAGAAACUGGAUUAUGGAAUGCUUAAGGACAGUAACCUACUCUUUCUCUAUAAAUGGGGAGGUUAAAGAAUAUGUUAUCCCAGGAAGAGGCAUCAGACAAGGGGAUCCCUUAUCCCCCUAUCUAUUUCUCCUUUGCUCAGAAGGGUUCGCAAGCCUUCUCAGACAAGCAGCAGGGAACAAGAGGAUAUCAGGAAUGAGACUUUGCAGGCAGGGACCAAGUCUUACUCAUUUGUUCUUUGCAGAUGAUUCCCUAAUCUUCUGCAAAGCAAACAAGCAGCAAGCAAUAGAACUGAUGAGAGUGCUGCAAGUGUACGCAACUGCAUCAGGUCAACUGAUAAACCUGGAUAAGUCUUCUAUACUCUUCAGCAAAAAUAUGUGCCCACAUAAGAAGCAUCAGAUCUGUCAUAUUAUGGGAAACAUGCAACAGGUAAAUCAAGGCAAGUACCUGGGGCUACCAAUGGUGGUGACUAGAACAAAGGAACAGAUUUUUGGUUUUGUACGAACAAACAUACAACAUAGGAUCCUCAAGUGGAAGAAUAGACUUUUAAGUGCAGCUGGAAAAGAGACAAUGCUCAAGGCGGUAUCAAUGGCUAUGCCCACGUACACAAUGUCGUGCUUCAAAAUACCAAAAAGAAUUUGCAAAGACAUCAGCUCUCUCAUGUCUAACUACUGGUGGGGGGAAGCAAAUGGUAAGAACAAGGUCCACUGGUGCUCCUGGAAGAAACUAACUCAGAAUAAGGAAAAGGGGGGAUUGGGUUUCAAGGAGUUGGAGGCUUUCAACAUGGCUUUGCUGGGUAAACAGGUGUGGAGGAUUCUUACAAAUCCAAACCUCCUGGUUAGUAAAGUUCUGAAGGCCAAAUAUUUCCCUAGGAGCUCCAUAUUUGAGUGCAAAAUUCCAAAGAAUGCAUCUUGGAUAUGGAGGGGCCUAAUGGCAGCAAGGAAAGUAGUGGAGCACGGGGUUAGAAAGAGAAUAGGCAAUGGGAGGAGCACACAAAUAUGGGAAGACAGAUGGAUCCCAGAUACUACCACUGGAAGAGUGACAACUAUGAAACAAGGAGAUAGCAGACUGCAUAAGGUCGAAGACCUGAUAAUUCAGAAGAGAUGGAACAGAAAUUUGGUGUUCCAGUAUUUUAACAAAGAGGAUGCAGAACGAAUCCUGAGCAUUCCAAUCAGUCUCGCUGGAAGAGAGGAUAGUUACUUCUGGAUGCAUGGUGAAGAUGGAAGAUACUCAGUCAGUUCUGGGUACAAGGGGUUGGUAUCCAAUAAAGAAAGGUCACAAGAAGUGAGUCAGAGGGAGGUAUCUACAAGCUGGGGGAAACAAACUCAUAAGAUGUGGAAAGUAAUGUGGAGACUCAAGCUCAAACACAAGCUGAAGAUUUUUCUAUGGAAAUGUUUGAACAACGCACUGCCUGUAAGGGAGCUAAUCAACGGCAGAACCAAAGCAGGUGACCCCAUUUGCAGAAGGUGUGGGGAAGAAGUAGAGACGGUGGAGCACUUGCUUCUGAACUGCAGAGAAACAAAACAUAUCUGGCACAUUGCCCCAAUCCAAUGGGAUGGGAUGCAAGAACAUCAUGGCUGUUUCAAAAGAUGGUGGAUCUCUGUCACUGAAGCAAGGCAUAGGAUAGCAGGAUCGCAACAUUUGGCCUUAACUGUCAACAUUCUUUGGCAGAUUUGGAAGGCUAGAAAUGACAUGGAAUUUACGGGGAAAGUUCAUCAGCCCUGGAAGAUUAUAAAGAGAGCACAGGAGGAAUGGCUACAAUUUGAUGAAGUUGCAAAGAAGGAAGCUAGGAUGAGCACAGGAGAAACAUCAACUCACAACAAUGAAGACCAGCAUUUAGAGCCGGAUGAGGGAACUGUGAAGAUGAUAGUUGAGGCAACAAGACAAACAGACAAACCUAUCUUAGGCAUUGGAAUCACUGCAGCUGAAAGGAACCAAGAACCAAUGAUAGGAUGGGCGCUAAAGGAAAGAAGCUCAGGGGUACAGCUACUGGAUGAUGCAGUAGCAUUAAAGCUGGCUAUGUGCAAAGCAAAUACUUUGCACCAGAGGAAUGUACAGUUCCAAGUGAAGAACAGGCAACUCCUCAAUCAUAUUCGAACUCAGAAGGCAAGUGACAGCAGAAUAGCUACGCUGGUGGAAGACAUUGUACAGUUGAAAAGGUUGUUUCAUAUGUGCUCCUUUUGUCUAGCUAGUAGUGAUAAAAAUUAUCUAAGCUCUAGGAUUAGCAUGUAUGCCUUAGGCAUCACAAUUGAUGAGGAAUUGGUGUUUCCUCAGUGUUAAGUACACUGGCUGUAAAGUCAAUUCGAGCCUUUGCUCGCACUUGUAUAUCUUUUGAAAGUAAUAUAAUCAAAUAUCGUUUCGGAAAAAAAAAAAAAAAAAAAAGAAUGGUCGUGAAUUGACUGGUCGAACUGGUUGGUUCGAUCUGGGUUUCAAAAUAGUUAUUUCGCAAUCAACCCCAAGUCAAAAGAAAAGUGGUCUAGUGACUUAUUAUUCUAAGUAACGAGUCAGGCUUCGAUUAAAUAAUUGAAGCGACAGGCUCUACACCGAUCUGAUUGAUUCAAUUGGACUUCAAGGCACUUUUGAGCCUUAUCUGCGACACUGAACUUCAAGCCUUGUUCCAAUAAUUGUAACACAUAUCCCACCAAGCCUGGAAGUGGGAGCAUAAGUAGAAAAUGAAAAUGUUAUUUAAUUUAUUUUGAGGUAAAAAUAACAAAUUUAUUAAUGAUAUAGCUGAAAUCUAUCAGUACUAUUUGCAUAACAAAGGUCAAAGGAGAAUUUCAAAGGGAUUCAAGUUAGUUGGCAGAGUUAGCAAAACGUACUAAGUUAUGUACAAUCUUGUUAGCCUCUCUAAAAAUUCAAAUUACAUCCACAACGUGUUGGUCUAAUAGAGCUAGUGAACAUCCUCAAUACAGAGCCUAUGUACGAGAGUAUAUCUUCAGAACUGCAAAUCAAUUUAAUAACCGAAAAUGCAACCUCUUUCAAAAUGAACUUGGAAUCAUCAAAAUCUUUGCAAGUGAAACUGCUUCUUUGGCGGUUACAGCUUCUGGCAGUUCAACAUUAAUUGGGCAUUUGAUUUUUUAGAUAAGCCAAAUAAUGAAUUGACCAUCAUGACUUUGAAUAACAACUGUAAUGCCAAUCACUUGAUUAACAGUUGAUAUAUAAACAUCAAAAUUAAUCUUGUAUGUGGGAACUAGGAGUACAAACGAGCUAAGCCAAAUCGAAUUUUGGUCUAAUUGAGCCGAGUUUCAACCUAGAUUUAUGAAACUCGAACUCGAAUUCGAGCUUGACAAGCUCAAAAUAUAAAGCUCGAGCUCGAGUUUAAAAAAAUAAAAAUAAAUAAUUAUUUCAUUUUUUAAAAUAAUAAUAAUAAUAAUUUUUCUUAACAAAUAAUAAAAUAUUAGGAAUAUGUAUGUAAUUUUACUAUUAAAAUAAAAAAUAAUAUAUAUGUAUAUAUAAUUGAGCACGAUCCGACUUGCGAGUUAAUGAACUUAGUAUUUUUUAGGUCGAGUUCGAGCUUGAAUUUGAUUUGGUCAACUCGAACUCGAGCUCGAGUUUGAUUACUAUAACUCGUUGUUGACCGAGCUCAGACUUGAGCCACUCGCAAUUGACUUAUGAGUGAUUCGACUCGUUUGCAGCCCACGUGGGAACAGAGGCAUGGACCAAUCUGAGUUCUGCCUUGAGAUGGAACCUGACACCAUGUGAGCAUUUGCCUUGAGAAAGUAGCAAGGUUUUUUUUUUUUUGGUAGAAAGUAGCAAGGUGAUGAUGUGCAAAAAUCGUCUUAAUUAAACUAAAUUAAAUUAUGUCAAGUCCCUUCACCUUUGGAUUGAAAAGUUGAGCCAGCGUCAUAUGGCUCUUAACAUAAAGGUGCAAGGUCCAUUUAAAAUGAAAUGGAUUAAUUAAUUUGUUAAUUCACAAUAUAUUAUUUGGACGGGUCUCUUAUUAAAACUCAAAUUAAAUGGAUUUUUUGAGUUACAAGUUAUCUAGAUUAUAAGAAGAUUAUGAAAGAUUUCUUGAAUACCAAACCUACAUAUUUUGGCUACAAAUAGAGACCUUCCCUCAAACCAAGAUAUAGAUUGAAAUUCUCAAAUUUUGGAAAAACUCUGUUAAACUCUCCCGAGAGCUUUUCUCCUCAUUAUCAAAUCAACUCCAAGUCAAGUCAAACAUAUUCUUCCAUUCGUGUUGAAGGCUUGAAAAUUGAAGAUUCAAGUGUUCAAAUGUCAUCAUCAAAUCAACCUUUUUUACGCCCCAAUUGUACAAAACACCCUUGUUAAUCAGAGAAGAAGUCUCUUCGACCCUUUGAUUAAAGUUCUGUGAAGAGAAGAAUCAGAAAUUAUGUUAUGUGUGGCUUUGUCCCACACUGAUUUUUUGUACAAGUGAGUCUUUUCCUUAGUUGGCUAUAAAUAGAAUUGAUCUAUAACGAGAUUAAGUGCAGCAACCCAAGAGAGUUUUAAUGGGUUAUUUGGGCCUUGGGUCAUUAAGUUUUUUUUUUUGUAAUAAAAAUAUUUUUAAACUCUCUUGUAUUUUAGUAUUAGGUGUUUCUCAGUUCAGGAACACUUUUCGAAGACUUUUGUAUUUUUUUUUCUUCACAGUGAAAUUCUUCUCCUCCUCCGUUCGUGGACGUAGGUCAAUUUAACAGAUAUCUCUGAUUUAUUUAUUUAUUUUUUCUUUUGUUAUUUGUAUUUUGGGAUUCCCGAGAACUCUUUCGUCAAUUUUCCUAGGACCAGACAUGAUAGAUUAAUUUUUUUGAUUCAAGAAUUUUCAGAAAUUGUAAUCCUUUUAUUUUUUGAUUUACAAGUUUUCUUGUUUUUUGUUUAGGCAACGAAAUUUGUAUUACAUAGAUAAUAGAACACAUUCCAGGCCAUAAUAUGAUAAGAAAAAUUUGGAUGUCCAAGUGGCUAAAAUCAUUAAAGUAAGAAUGAAAUCAUCAAGUUACAUAUCAUGAUAUAAGGUAGGUUGUACAGCUCUUGGCAGGUGGACAUUUUCUACACCCCAUUUCUCGCACCCCAUUUUUUGAAAAAUAAAAUUACGAGUUAUAAAAAUGAAUUUUUGAGUGAAAAUGAGUUUUUGAUUUUUAGAAAAUAAAUAAAGAAAAAGGACCUAAAAUGGAACUUAAAAAGUGCGACGGUUUUGGCCCAAAAUAAUAGUCUAAAAAGGGUUUUUAAGAAAAAUAGGAGUCGCCACUUGGUAUUGAGUUAAGAUGUACCAAGUCACCUAAAAAUGUAUUUUUAAUAAAAAUAGAUAAAACCCUUUUUAGACGACUCCAGAUCUUUGAAAACAAAAGAAAAGAGUUCGGGAGUCACGGUUGAAGAAAGAGAAGACAAACCCUUUCAAUCUAGUCAAGGCUAGUUGCGUGAUUUAGUCGAAAAUUUUCUUAAUCUAAUCUACAAAACUUGUCACAUUUGGAUGUUACUACAUGGAUGCAAACUUAGAUCUAAUGGAUAUCGGGAGGGUCGAAAUAUCUCUUCAGAGUUUAAUUGGUGCUAAUCACAUUAAUUGUGAUGCUCAAAAAUGAUUCUUAAAAGAGGUUACAAAUAUGCAAAAUGAGACUCAAAGAAAAGAAGAAUUAUAAUAUAUAAAUAUACAUGACCUAAAAAGAGGAAUACAACAUAACGGGUAUGAAGAACUAAGAUUCGUGACUCAAUUUUCCUUUUUAUAGAGGAGAUACGAUUGUGUUAAGGCUAAAAAGUUAUACUCGUCCAUUUCCCAUAUCUGAAGGAUGACUCUUCUAAUCUAGUCAAGCAAAUGAGCUAGCUUAUUUCUAAUUUCCUAAAUGGAAUGCAAGUCUAAGUGUCAUGUUUCGCACACAUAGGGAUAAAGGAAAUAAUAUAUAGAGGAUAUAUCACGCAAGAUGUGAAAGGAUCCUAAAAAUGAAAAACAUGUAUGAAAUGCGAUGAAUAUCACGCAAAGAAUGUGAAUCUAAUGCGAAAAACAACCUAAAGUGUCUAGCGUUGGACUAACCCAUUUCUACAAGUUUUCACUAAUGUUGGACUAGUGAGAAAUCGGGGAGAAAGACCACAACUAGCGUUGGACUAGUAUGGUGACGUCAUGCAUUUAUUAUAACUAAAUAAAUCAUAUGAAACAUAAUAAAAUCAAGUAAACACAUAGAUCACAUAGCACGGAAGCAUAAUAUCUAGAUGCAAACCUCCAAUGAAAGCGAGUAAACACAUAAGCACACAAGCAUGCAAACACCCAAGCAAAUAAAUGCAAAUAAGAGUCUAACUAUUACAUUCAGGGCCCUAAUUACAAUCUAAAGGAGAAAAUUUAAAAAUAAUAAUUUAACUAUUACAUUUAUCUAACUAAAUGCAUUUUUAACAAAAUUAAAACCUAUCUAUUACAUAGGCUAGCUAAAUACAUGUCUUGAUCGCCUAUCUAUUACAACUUGGCAUUUUAAUGCCUCUCAAAUAAUUAUCAAAAUUAAAUUAAAUAAAACAAAUGAAACUUAAAAUGAAUAAGAAUGACUAAUUAAAAGAAAGAAAAGCACUCAAAACAUGCAAUUGCACAUAAUAACACAUUGGAGCACAUAAAAGAAUUUAAAAUAAUAAAAGAGGUAACCUCCCUUGAAGUGGUGAUUAAAUGGGGUGAAAUUUACUCUACUUAUGCUCCAAAAUGAUCAAGACACCAAUUUAAUUAUAAAUAAAUGAAAAUAAUCAUGAAAUCUACCAAUCAAAGUACUUAAAUGAAGCAUAAUUAAUAAUUAAAGAAGAAAAAUAACUUGUAUUUAAGAAAUCAAAACUGCUAUGGACUUAAUUACAAAAAAUAAGAAAGUUUUUGGGAUUAAAUUAUAGUUAUUACAAAAAUUAGAGGUCAAAAUGAAAUAAAAAUAAAGUCUAGGGACCAAAAUGAAAUUAAAAUAGGGACCUAAUUGAAAUGAAACCAAAGUUUUUAAGGCUAUAGUAUAAUAACUAAAAAAUACAGAGAUUAAUCUGCAAAAACGUUUUCUAGUUUCUUGAGUAAACAGGCCAUGAAGCCAUUUUUUUCUUUCUUUGGGCCAAAGGCUCCCUAAGCCCGGUGGAAAACCCAAGAAAAUGGGCAGGCUAGCCUUCAUUUUUCAACAAAAUAAAACCCAACCUAAUAAAUGGGCUUUAAUCUGCUAAGCCCAUACUUAAACCCAUAAAAAAUUUGCUAAAGCCCACUUCUAAAACCCAAGUAAAAUAGACCAGAUUUUUAUAUCAAAACCCAACCAAACAAACCUCAAUCCAACCCUCCAACUAUUUUUACUAAACCCAACAAGAUAAAAAUCUACUAAAAUUUAUUAAAGACUGAUUAUACUCUAAAUCCCAGAAAUAAUCUGCUUAAAAAAGUAUUUAAGAUGUGAAAAAGAGGAUUGGAACUUAAUAAGGGCAAAAAUGGUUCGAUUGCAGAAGUACUUGGGUCAUAGUGAAAUUAUAUAAAAAUUUGGGUUCAAAAUGAAAUUUUUCAAAAUUUUGCAUGCAAAGCUUCGAAGAAGCUUUCUUCUUCUGCAACAUUCCAUCCGCAAUUCUUUCUGCAACUUUCGGUUAUUCAUUAUUCAUGUCUCUUGCACAACAAAGGAAAGGAAGGAAACUAGCAUGCCAUUUUAACAAAAAACAAUCCCAACCCUCUAGCAUAAUUACCAAGAACAUCAAUGAAGCUACCCAACUUUGAUGGAAGAAACAGGUUCUUAGGACAAGAACAUGUCCAGGCAAAAAAGGAACGGAAUAUGGGACGAACAUGAAUGACCAAGAGAAAAUAUAAUCCCAACCAGAUCCAUUUAUAUAUAUUAUCAUCCUCCAUUGCAUUAAAUCAUUGAAUGAACUAAAUUCAUCCAAUCUCAGACAAGGUCAUCCAUUGAAAUAUAGAGUUAUACCAAGAAAUAAUCAACCCAAAAAUGCAGAUUUGUGUGGAUUCCAUUUCAUUCAUGAACUAGAAUCGAUAAGAAAUGAAGUCACGAUUACCUGAGGGUGAAUCUCGGAUAAUAUUGCUGCCAAAGAAACGAUCAAAAGCUGGUUUCUAUGGAAUGUGCACGAACUUGCAGGUGUAGCAGUCAAACGAAGUCACGACUUUAAAGGGCGAAUUUGGAGGCUUUCUUGACGUUUUUUCUCUCAAUGUCUGAAUAAAAGUUGUUCAGAUUCCUCCCAAGAAGGUGUAGAAAUGGAGAAUCUGCUCCAAGAACUCAAAAAAAAGAUCAGAAUUUGACAAUGAAGAAGGCUGACGGCUCAACCUGGUCCUCAGAUUUUUUCCCAGAAAAUUUUUCUGUUUCUUCCUUUUUCUUCCCCGUUUUCUCUCUUUUCUCUCUAUUUUCUAUGCUCCGCCGCCUCUCCCUCUUUUUUUUUUUUUUUUUUUCUUGGCUGCGUUUAUGAGCCUUUUAUAGGCACAAAACACCCCCCCCCCCAACCCUAACAACAAUGGUGUAGAUGAAAAUUUUUUUGUGGGGUUUUUGGAGCCAUUGGAUGGCUUAAAUCUGGAACCUUCUUGGCAAUUCGAAUUAGAGUGACGUGGCUUGGUACUGAGGGGUUUAAAUGGAAAGAAAAAAAGUGAAAAAAAAUGUGUGGAAUUGGGAUCAAAAUGUAGCUGCAUCUUUUGGUACUAUUUGCUGGUUUUUGUACCAGCUUCGUGAAGAAGAUGUAUACGCGUGUGUGGAAUUUUUUUUUUUUUUUUACAAAUACCAAUUUUUUUCAUUUUUUUCUUUUCUUUUCCGAUUUUUCUAAAAAGAGUGAUUUUUAUCAAGAAAUAGAAAAUAAACAUAAUUUAACUAAAAUGAACAAAAAUAAAAAAAUGAAGAAAAAAUGGUAAAAUUUUGGUAUCUACAGUAUUAUGCCUUAAUUUUAUGUGCUAGAAAAAUAUUUGUACCUUUCAAGGAAAAGUAUUGUUUCCAUAAGACAAAUUGAAUAAAGUUGUUCAAAUAAUCCAAUUGAAAAUUUAAAGCAUGGCAGCCUUUUAAUUUUGAUUUUAGGUGAAAGAGUUGGGUGAUUAUGCAUGUUAAAGAGGUCUUCCACUUGCUAGAACACUUAAUUCAUACCACAAGUUAAUAAAAUUGUACUUUAGAACAAAUCAUUUCUCAUCAAUGAAACUUUUAAACAUUUCAUGAUAUCAAAAUCUCUACUUCAUGUUAAGAAUAUGAAGUCAUUAUUAUUUUAUAAAUUCAAUACUUUUUUUAAUCCUCAAGUAAAAAUCACCCAGAGUGCAUUAUGAAAUUUAUAAGUAGUUUGUGUUCCAAGUAAAUAACAUGAGUUGUCUAAUGAAAUGUUAGGAAAACAGAGAGCAUCAUUUACUUGUAUUUUGUCAUCAGUUUUAUGCAUUAUGUUUUUUUCCUUUAAUUUCCUUUAAUAAUUCCAAAAUUAAAUUAAAUUUCCAAUCCAACUCAAUUCAAUUAAGAGUCUAUUCCACGCAAGUUGCACACAAGUUGUGCGAAUUCAGUUAUGAGUCAAUUGUAGACAAAAUGCACGAUUUCCUUUCAUACACAAAAUGCUUUCACCAAAUGCUCAUAGCCCAACAUGUGCUCUAGAUUUCAAUUUGUCUCCGUGUUAAUUCAGUAAUCAGUCAUAAAUGAUCAACAGCACAAUUGUUCUAUGGCAUAGAUAAAUCAAGGAUACACAUUCUAUCAGCACAAUUGUUGGAAGCAUUUAGUAAAUACCACUCACCACUACAACCACUGAUGCAAACAUGAUGAACCAGGACCCUUCCAAAAGAGUUGCAAUCUGCCCAAACGAAGAGUAGUUUCAUUAGUAAUUUCUGAAGUUAUUAAAGUCGUUUGUUUAGUCUUGUUAAGCAAGGUAUAUUUGUCAUUUAUCUUGCUGAUUUAGUUAUUAAUUUUAGCUUAAUAAUUUCGGCCAAACACACCCUUAUCAUGGAAGAACCAUAGUCCUUAAUUUUAGGGUCUAGAUUGAGUCCAAUUAGCUUUAGGUUUUAGUCAUUGUAAGGCUAUAUAUAGCCCUAGUCUUAUUCAUGCAAGUGGUCAGAAAUUUAAUACAAAUUUUCGUGAGUUAUUCACUUUCUCUUAUCCAAGAGAGUUUCCUUUGAAUACUUGAGAAUUGUCUUAAGUUAUUUAUCCGAACUUAUCAAUCAAGUAUCUCCUUGGUCGUGGCGUUCUCCUAUUUAUAGUUUGGUUCGCUAAUUCGUUAAGUAGUGGGUUGAGAUAGUAUCAAUAUUGUUCGCUACUUCGGGUAUUAGAUUGGGUCAAAUUUCCUCUGCCAAACCGUCGGUGAUUGGUUGUCUAGAUCGUGUCCAAGUGUAGAUCACAUCAACCACACCUUCUAAAAUUAUAAAGUCACAAUCUUUAUAUCUGAAUGCCAGAACCAUGACUAAGAGCUGCUAUAUUUUCUAAAAAUCAUGCAACAUCUUUUCAUUUUAUUCAUUUCUUGCCAAGUAAUGGCAAGCUUGUUCCGCUAUUCACUCUUGAUGAAAUAUUAGUUUUUAUAUUUUGGUCACUCUAGGUGUUGCAUUAUUGUCAUGCCAAACAAAAUGCAUAUUCGUAUUUCAUUUUGUUGCAUUUCAUUUUAAAAGUUAAAAAAGAAAUCUUGGUUUUUUUUUUUCCUUUUGGGUUGCACUUGCAAGCUUUUGUUAUUUAUGUUCAAUGUGCUAAUAGUAUUUAUCUUUCAGUCAUCCUUAACGCAUUAUUAUUAUGCCAGAAAAUAUGCAUAUCCGUAUACCUUUUGGUCUUCUUUCUGCAUCUCAAUUUGUCUCUUUCAGCUUUCAGUCAGUAUUCAAUUCAAAGUACAGCAACUAUACCCAUAUUUUGUUCAUUCUGCUGCUGAGAUGAAUCGAGUUAUUUGCCUAAAUAGCUCCCUUCACAAAAAAUGUUAUGAUUCAAUUUCAUACUUUAUUCGCAUAACAACCUUUUUUGUAAUCUAUCCGAUCAAAUUCAAAUGGAAAUGAGAAAAAGGGUAAAACCCUUCACUAGCCGUUAAUAUUGUCCAAAAAUCCCCUAUAUAACUAUCAUACUCUAGUCUGAAUCUAUCUUUUCCUUUUUGACUAUAAUACUCUACUCUGUCUUUACUUGUUACUCAAGUAUCCAAAAAAAUCUCGAAUACUUAGCAUAAAUAUGACGAUAUUUUCAAACAUGAGAGCAAAAGUCUUGAAUACUUAACAUAAACCUAACGAUAUUUCCAAAGAUGAGACCAAAAUCUAAAAUCUGACUGUUUCUCUUUGUGAUGCUUUCCUUCUUAUUAAGAAAAAAAUAAAAGAAAAACUCACUACAAAUCCAAGAAAACUAUUAUCACCAAACACGAAAAGCAAAAUCUAAAAUUUUGAUUGUUCAUCUCCAUUCCAGUUACAGUAAUUUUCUCUUUCUGAUGCUCUCUUUCCUAUUAAGAAUGAAAAAAAGGAAAAACUCACUACAAAUCUAGCAAAAUUGGAAUUAUUAGUAUGUUUGUACAGAACUCUCCAUCACUUGUUCAUUCAAUUAACUCUUUCCAGAGUUUUAGUUUUGAUUUUGUCAUACUGCAUUGAACCAAACUCACUGCACAUGUGGCAAUAUGGAGGGAAUAGCAUGUAGGGCUGAGGAAAGGAGUCUUAUGCUUUUAUUUUGGAUGGAUACCUGUGAAUCUAGAACCUCCAAUGUUAAUACUGGUGGUAACGAGAAUUUGAAUGAGUUUGAAGAACUUGAUUUAGAAAGUAUGGAGGAGGUUGCUCCUUAUUAGGGGAUAAGGUCAGAAAAUUAGAUUAGUAAUAAAAUUUGGAGUUGAAUCAUUGCAGGAAUAUUUUUUGAAAAAAAGGUUUAUUUGACAAAAAACUCGAGAUGAAUUUAGGAUACGUAUCCAUAUCUCUCUAUUGCUGUGAACAUGACUCGUAUUUUUAUUUUCUCACUUCUUUCUUUCCUUACCUUCACUUCAGUGCAUCAAACAGUCACAAAAGAGGCUAGCAAGGGUAAAAAAAAAAAAAAACACACACACACACACACACAUUUGUAUUCAAUUAAGAGUUUCUUCAAGCAAGAGCUGACUCUUUUGCUGAUUUCAGCCCAAUUUUGAGGGUCCUAUGAUGGCUUUAUAUAUGUCUUUAAGGGUCCGUUUGUUUCGGGUGAAAAUGUUUUUCAGGAAAAUAUUUUCCUAAUUUCCCGUGUUUGGUUGCACAAAAGUUACUGAAAACAUUUUCCCCGUGUUUGUUUUCCGAAAUGCAUGCAUCCCGCCUGUAGUAUGUUCCAAACUUACUGAAAAUAUCUUGUAGUAUGUUCUUUUUUUUUUUUUUAAUGUAAACAGGAGGAUUCGAACCCAAGACCUCUUCCUUACACUCCCCCCCCGUACCACCCAACCCAACCCAACCCUCCCCCUAGUAUAUUCAAAAUAAAAAAAAAAAACCUCAUCCUGCUCAUCCUAUGCUAGUAAUUAAUUAUGUAUAAUAGGAACAUUCUUUUCUAGAGAAACUUUCAGCAGUGAGAGUGCAAGAUAUAUGUCACAAUAAGCAUUGCAUAUGAUUGAUUUUUGACACUAAAUGGCCAGCAAUUUGUUUAUUGCUUAAGGAGAUAUUUUUUAUUCAUAUAUACAUUUCUCCAAGAUUUUUUAAAGUUAAACAAUGAGAUAAAUUUUCUUAUUUUGCAUGGGAAGAAGUAUGUAGUUAUAAUGUGUAGAAAGUAAAGAUAGAGAUAAAAGUGAAAAUAUUUCAAAAGUUAAACAAACACCAGAAAAAUGAAGUAAAAAAAUAUUUUCAAUAAGCUAACCAAACACCUGAAAAUGAUGAAAGGGAAAUGAUUUUCAUGGAAAAUUACUUCCACGGAAAAUAUUUUCCCAAGGAAAACAUUUUACUUCCAAUCAAACAGACCCUAAAGGCAAAAAAAUUGCUCAUUUGACCGUUCUCUUUUCUUCUAAUUUUAUUCUUGGCUUAGCAUGAGAUGAAAAGUGCUCAAAUUGUUCAUGUUAUAGAGAAUUAGGUACUUGGAAGCACCAUCCGAAGUCAAUUCCUAUCUUGUGGUGAAUUUUUACAAUUUGUGGCUCGUGCAUGUAUGUUUCUUCUAUUGCACCUUUUGUUUUGAUAUUGGCUCUUUUGGCUUUAACAACUACCAUGGCAAUUUUUUUUAGCUAAUUCUAGUGGAAGAUUUUGAGUCUCUGAACCAAAAACCUAUUCAAUUGAUAAACUUUCAAGUUCACGUUUUUUAGUUUGUUCUUCAUUUAUUAUGUGCCUUAGAACACCACUAACCUCCUAACAUACUUGAAACUUAAUAGAAAAUAUCUUAAAUUUAAAUAUAUCCCUACUUGCUAUCUUUUAGUUAUAAUUAAAAAAAAAACUUCCAUAAUGGGAAUUGCGGAAUUCAAGGGUCUGUUUGGUUGGAAGUAAAAUGUUUUCCUUGGGAAAAUAUUUUCCGUGGAAGUAAUUUUCCAUGAAAAUCAUUUCCCUUUCAUCAUUUUCAGGUGUUUGGUUAGCUUAUUGAAAAUAUUUUCUUACUUCAUUUUUCUGGUGUUUGUUUAACUUUUGAAAUAUUUUCACUUUUAUCUCUAUCUUUACUUUCUACACAUUAUAACUACAUACUUCUUUCCAUGCAAAAUAAGAAAAUUUAUCUCAUUGUUUAACUUUAAAAAUCUUGGAGAAAUGUAUAUAUGAAUAAAAAAUAUCUCCUUAAGCAAUAAACAAAUUGCUGGCCAUUUAGUAUCAAAAAUCAAUCAUAUGCAAUGCUUAUUGUGACAUAUAUCUUGCACUCACACUGUUGAAAGUUUCUCUAGAAAAGAAUGUUUCUAUUAUACAUAAUUAAUUACUAGCAUAGGAUGAGCAGGAUGAGGUUUUUUUUUUUAUUUUGAAUAUACUAGGGGGAGGGUUGGGUUGGGUUGGGUGGUACCGGGGGGGAGUGUAAGGAAGAGGUCUUAGGUUCGAAUCCUCCUGUUUAUAUUAAAAAAAAAAGAACAUACUACAAGAUAUUUUCAGUAAGUUUGGAACAUACUACAGGCGGGAUGCAUGCAUUUUGGAAAACAACUUCAGUAAGUUUGGAAGGGAAGUUGUUUUCCAUAAGAUGAGUGAAAAUAUUUUACAUAGGAAAAUGUUUUCAGUAACUUUUGUGCAACCAAACACGGGAAAUUAGAAAAAUAUUUUCCUGGAAAAUAUUUUCACCCGAAACAAACGGACCCCAAAUCGUGUAUCACUAUUCAUAGGUGUGAUCUAGUUUUUACAAAUUUCAAAAUUUUAUAUUAUUCCUAUAAUUCAACGAAUAUUUAAUGGUAUUCCUAAUCAAGUGUGUCACUUUGCUAAUUCUUUUGGUAAUUAUACACUAUAUUUAACUCACAAAUAUCGGCAUUUAUAAUUAUUUUAUUUUAAGUAAAUAAAAUAAUCUAACCUACAUUACCUUAGAAUUUAUGUCAAUUGAAUCAACACUUCAAGAGACCCCACUUACACUAAAAAACAAAAAAAUCAACGCUUCAAUACCAACUUUUUAUUUAAUUAAUUCCCAGGAAUUAUUCGUCAUGCAUAGGUUUUGAAAGGAUUUAAUCAUAUUUAACUUAAUAAGCUUACCUCAACCAGACAAAUUUUUUGCUUUUUUUUACUUUUCUUGAUAUGGUUAAAUACCUGACAUAGACGCCAACCAUUUAUUAAGUAUGGAACAACAAACCAUCCAUCAAGAAUUGAAAAUAACUUUUUAAAGAUGGGAACAAGAUCUUUACGUGAGAAAUAUAUGGCAUCACGUUAUAUAAUACAAAAGUAACCUAAACCAACCAAUCCGAGAAAAACCUUGCAUUUUUUCAUUCUUUUUCCAAUAGAACAGCUUAUGGAAAAAUAAUGUGUCAACUUAGAUAUCAUGGAUUCAAACUUUCCUUCUCCCUCCUUACUUCUUAAAUCCCACACUUUUUCUAUUCAGAAAAUUUUUUUUUUUUAAAAAAAGAUAAUGUGUCAGUGUAUGAGUUUUUUUUUUUGUCAUUCUUUUCCAUUAGAGGAGUUGAGAGAAUGCCAAAUAAAAAGUUACAAAUUUAAAUUUGUCCAAGACAAUGAAAUUGGUAUCCUCCAUGAUCUCCAGUUACAUGAAGAAAUAGUAAAUUUUAUAUACACUGACAUGAAAAAACACUGAAUAUCAUGGUUGGAUGCACGACACAUAUGUAAAAUUUGAGUUUCAAAUUCAAAUUUCGAUUAUGUGACAUGUAUUCAAUAGUGAAAGUGUAUGCACUAUCAGUAUAUAAAAAAUUAAUUCAAAAGGAAUUUUAUAGUUAACUGAUAUUGGAUAUUAAGUCAUGCCAUUCGAAUUACAAUAAAGUCAACAAGUAGAAACAAACAAAUAUAACUUGCAGUUAAUCCAAUUCAAAAGGCGUAAAUUGGUUAUAGUGUUUGCUGGACAAGUCAUGGCAACCAUUGGAAAAGACAACCCUUUGGACGUCAUAUGACAUCCAAAAUUUUGCUGCAAUCGUGAUUAUUUUUUUCGUCACAUUGAUGGCAAAAUGAAACUAAUUUUGAUGAAUGGGUAAGAAAAUCAACCAAAACGAUAAAGUCAACCAAAAAUUCCAUUCAUGAUAAGAAGCAAAAGUAUUGACAUUGAGUUUGUGAAGAUUAAUUGAACUUUAUGUUCCAUAAGAUUGUAGACUAGUUUGGUUACAAAAAAUUUUAAGUUCCAUAGGAUUGUAGACUAGUUUGGUUACAAAAAAUUUGAUUUGUGCCUCUGUAAUUACCACUUUUAAUUGCACUAACAAUGUGUACAUAAAUUUUAUAUAAAUACAGCUCCACUAAUUUUAUUUCAAAUACAAUUUUGAAUAGGAUUGUUGGAUCCUUAUUGAUCCAGUAGAGAGCAUCAGAUUGGUCAAAAACCAACUACUAGGCAUGUAGUUUGUGCUGAUCAAAAUAAAAUUUCUCACACCAUAUGCUAUAUCUGCAAAAUGUCUACACAAUGCACACACUAACACAGGUAUGCAAUGUAUCGACUCAUACAGGAGACGGGUUUUAUGACAAGAGAUGUAGACACUAAUAAAAUAAUGUGGAAAAAUACAACAUUUUAACUAUGAACCAAAGUUUUUAAGGUGUUAAUUACUCUUCAAAAUCCUCCUAAGUGGUUGAUCUUGAUUAGAUUUAAUUUAUCCAUAUCCUUUGCUAUCCUACUAUGACCCCAAUGUAAAGAAAUAUAGACCAUUAUUAGUUAGCAAUUUUUUUAAAUUUACAUUUUUUGUUUUUAAAAUUUUACUUUGUUUUGGCUUUUUGAUUAAGGAGUUAUUAAGAGCAAAGGUAACGUUGUCAAUUUAUGACCUUUGAUAGGAAUAUUUAGUCUUGUCAAGUUAACAAAGGAAGUAAGUGAGAUUUUAAAAUUUUGAGGGGAGCUAAGUGAUAUUAUAACAAACCUCAGGGAGAUUUCUGAAAUUAUCCCUUAAUAAUAAGUAGUCAUAAAUAUAUUGGUUAUAUAUUUCUUUUAGACACAAAAAAAUAAAAGAUCCUCCAAACUUGAGAGUUGAGAUUCUGAUACGUAAUGUAAGGGCGCAUAUAAAUCUUAAAGGUUGUUAAAACUGAUUAUGUACAGUGGCUUAGACAUUACUUCAAUAGAAAAGCAACUAUCUCCAGCAAUGAGAAGAGUACAAUAUUUAUUAGAUGGGUAUUAGUGGGAACACUAGGCAACUUACAUUCUCCAUAGUUAUUCAGUGAUAAACAAUUUGGUGAUGAUGCUUCAUGCUCCCUCCGGUAGAAUAAAAAUACCAAGGAGUUUAUGGAACUGGAGGGCAAAAGAUUACACAUUAUGCUUUAAUUAGUGUGAUCUAUAUAUAUGCAGAUGAAAAUCCAUAUUCAAUUAUGCAUGCACAUUUCUUAUCUUACAAGAUAUAAAAUUGUGAAGGGAUCAAAGCUGAGUCAAAUAUGGACUGGUUAUAUGGUAAUUUUGACGACUUUGAGUGGCUUUUGUAUGGUAAGUUAGGCCAUUUUAUUUCGUUAUUUUGAAUAAUUUGUACUUAAUAGUUAGUGUAUUUGGAUAGGAGAUUAUUUGGAAUAAUUUGUUUAAAAACAUACUGUAGCACUUUUUUAAUGUGAUGUAUGUGAGAUAAAAAAAUAAUUAAAAAAUGUGCUUACGAUACAAGUAAGUCAAUCAGUGUGUAUAAAUAAAAUGUAAAUAAGGUGCAAACCAGACACACUCAGCAGUGACUCUUCAGUUUUCAUGUGUUGAAUAUUCAAAAUUGUUUAGCACUAGGCAAAAUAGACCGGCACUUCUUUAAGGUAACAUGUUGGGAGCCCACAACUUGGCUUGUGAAAUAAAUAAUUGGUUACUACAAGGCUCUUUUCUUUGACUUCUGUAGUUGUUAUCUUUGGAGAAUAAUGGAAGUGACUCUAAAUUAUGUUUAAAAUUUGAUAGAAAACAUUUGCUAGAGAUCGUUUUGUGCGUCUUUGGCAAAGUAGUCGUUUUUCGUAUUGGCAUCCUAAAGCGUAGUCAUAAAAUUGUCGAGGUUAAUGUUCUAACUUUUGUUGGAGGAUCAUUUACAUAGGUUAAUUUGUUACUGAAAAAUGCUUUUUGGAACAUCCUUUGCUUUUGGACUGGUCUCAAGGCAGCAAAGUUUCUCAUACAUAUUCCUGUUUGUCUCUUUAAGUUUUAUUUAACGAACGUUGCAGGCUUUGUAUGUGUUUUUAUUUUUUAUUUUUUUUUUAUGGGUGACGGGUGAUGUGGAGAAGUCUGUUGCCCUGGUGGUUGAUUGGCCUUUUUAAAUGGCUGAAACAAUUGGGAGGGGCCAUGGUUUGAGACUUGCAUAUACAUAUAUAUAUAUAUAUAAUAACUCUUUGUGUGAUUAAUUUUUCAUACACUAACACUGUAUAUAUUAAGAGGUUUAGAUGCUUGUUGCAUCAUUAUAAUUAUAAUUAUAAUUUUAAAUUUCGUUCAUAUAAUAUGUAUCCAAACCCGUUACUAUACACACUAUUAAUGUAUGAAAACUGAUUAUGAGAACACAUCGAUCUCAGUAUAUGACUAAUAUAUGAGGUAGGUUUAGAAGUAAUGCAUUAAGAAUAAGUAAAUCCCUCGACUCUUUCGUACCAAUACAAAGCCAAGGGAAAAGAAUUUGCAAGUUUUACAACUCAUUUUUUUUUUUUACAGUGCAAGUGGGAGGGUUUAAACCGCAGAACUCUCACUAUUUGUUUUGACUUGUUCUAAGAUUAAAAAAAAAAGUUAAAUUUAGGAUGCAACCCUCAAAUACACUUUUUAAAAUAAUAUUUAACUUUCAAGUUUGAAUAACACAAAAAAAUCGAAUAAUGUUAGUAUCUUUUUCUUAGAUUUUUUUUUUCAAAAAUUGGCUAAAAUUUUUUACGCCAAUCUCAAUUUACUAUUGCUUGACCUAUUCCACUUAACAUUCGUUUUAGCAACAGCUUUGUCAAUGUUCAACAAAUGAAGGAAAGCAACCCUUCAAGAAAAAAAACAAGAGUUGGGCAAAAGUACAACCAUGAACUUAGGAACUGCACAUUGUGGGCUCAAAUUGUUUGGAAUUAUAUAGUCGCUGCACCUUUUGUCAAUGCUAAAUCUUAAAAUCAAGAAAUGUGGUUCCAAUUCUUCAAAAUCAACACUAAUAAGUAAUUGCGGUCGGAGCACACCAAUACUGGCGACGAAGUCAACUCAGCAUUUUAUACUGUGGUUCAGGAAACUUCAAUACGUGGCAAAUGCAAUGCCGCGCCAAGUUUCUUGUGAAUUGAUUAGUUUUGACUUUCCAUUACACAAAAAGAAAAGAAAAUAUAAAUUUAUCAUUUUAGAAAGAACUUAUUCUAACUUUAAAAUACUAUUCUGACAUUAUCGCCGGCCUUAGUUUUUUUUUUAAAUAAAAUAUCAUAAUUGCGUUAAAAUCUACAUUAAUGAUAGAAAUUACAUCAUCAAACAUAAUAUCAAAAAACAGAUUUGAAGAACAAUAAAAAUUAUAUUAUAAAAUUUCAAAUUCAAAAUAUGAGAUAAAAUAAUUAUAAUUCUACGAACAUAUAUGAUCUGCUAAUUAACUGUUUCAAGUCUAGAUAUUAUGGUAAAAUCUGGUGAAUAAAUCCAACAAAUUCCAUAUCUAAUAAUCAAGAUCUGAAAAAACUCAGAUCUAAUAAGAUACUAAUAAAUUAGACCAUUAACAAAUUCCAAAUAUUAUCACCGGCCUCAGUUGCUUUAGUUGGAUGAAUUUUUAAGAUACUAAUAAAUCAGACCAUCAACAAAUUGCGUCCAUUUUACUCAAAACUAUACAUCACAAUCCAACAAAGUUGGAUUAUCAGUGCCCAUUAGUGUCAAAAUUUACAUCACAAUACCUCGCCAGCACAAGAAGACUGACCAUGAAGUCCAGUAGGGGUGCGCACAGGUCGGGUACCCGCCCCUAACAAGAUUUGGCUGACCCGACCCUAAAAUAUCGGAUCAGCCAUUUUGCGACCCUAACCCGCUCCUAAUAUUUUCGGGUACCCGCUAUUCGGGUACCCGAAAAAAAGGGGCGGUCAUAGGGUACCCGCUCCUAAAAAAAAAUUAUUUUUCAAUAAAAAGAUAUUUUUCACUUAAUAUCAAUAUGUUUUCCAAUAAAAAAAAUAUGCUUUCCAAUUAAUAUUGGUAGAGAUAUUAUAAUCAAAAUCCAUACAUCACCAUUCUCACAUAUUUCAUCCAAUAAUCAAACUGAUUUCAUAAAUUUAGUACAUAUUACAAUUAUAAUAUCUAAUAGAUAAAACGAAAUUUUAUAAUAAUUUUGAGUACAUCACCAUUCUCACGCAUUUCAUCCUUCUACAAUAUAACAAACACAUGGAUAAUAAGUAUAUGACAACUUUUUCAACUUCCUUAAGGAUGUUAUGGUACAAGAUUGCAUCCAAAAUGAGUCGAUUGUGGAAUCAAAUCCGGAAAAGAAUUGAACAGAGCUAAUAAUUUUUGAAGAAAGUAUAACCAAAAUAAUCUUGAAAAAUUUUCCCCAACUUUCUUACAUCGUUGGAAUAGACCUUGUUGCAUUAAAGGUGAUGAAAAAGAAAAAUAAAUUUCUUGCACUAAAAUAAAAGGAGGCAAAUUUAAGAGGCACAAUUGCAAUAAAAUAAAUAAAUAAAUGAAAGACACAAAUGUUUUAAUUAUCUAGCUAACAAAAAAUUGGAGCUCCAAAUACAAAUUCUUGAUUGAAUUGAUGAAAAAUUUGUAGGAAAGAUCGAUGGAAGUAAAAUAAAAAUGAAAAAGGAUGAAAGGAACGAACAAUUUUUAUGAUAGAGUUUCACAAAUUUUUCUUUGUUUAUUCAUUUGGUUCAGAUUUCGCCAAGAAUAUUCGCUUUUUUUAGACAAAAUGAGGAGAGGCGGAUCAUAUGAGAUUAAAAUAUGAGGUUGUGAACCACUUUACUUACACUUAUGAUUAAAAAUUAUAAAAUUAUAUAAUGAACCCUUUUUUUUUUAAUAUUUAGAUAAUAUAUCUUGCGGGUCGGGUACCCGCGAGUUUUUAUUUUGCUGAUCCGUAUCCGUAUCCGUUUUUGCGGGUACCCGACCUGUGUCUGCCCCGCUAAGAAAAAUAGGAUCGGAUAUCCUAUUUUUCGGAUCGGAUCGGGUUAGCCGGGUUUCGGAUCGGACCGGGUUUUUUGCCCACCUCUAAAGUCCAGUGUAGGUCCUUUGUAUUUAGAAGAUUCACACUACAAUUUCAUUCUAUAAAUACCAUCUCCAGUCGCAUUGCUUAGCACCCCAGAUCCUCUUCAAGAACUACACAUUUCUUCAAAGCCUUUGUUCCUGAAGAGAACUUUUGUUUACUCCCAAACACCAAGCAAGGCAUCAUGGCCCCUCUCACUUGUGAUUAUGAGGUCCCCUGCUCAAUCCCUCCUGCAAGGUUGUUCAAGGCCUUCAUCCUUGAUGACCACUUCAUUACUAAGGUGCUGCCACAGGCCAUUAAAAAGGUCGAAAUCGUUGAAGGAGAUGGAGGAGUGGGAUCCAUCAAGUUGAUCACUUUUGGUGAAGGUUAGUUCUAAAGAUUCACUUAAUCAUCAUUUCAUAAUUUUUUGUCCAUAAAUUCUAAUAAUUUUAUAUAUAUAUUUUUUGAACUUUGUUGAAUGUUUAGGUAGUCAAUAUAAGGGUGCAAAACAAAGAGUCGAUGGAAUUGACAAAGACAACUUCACCUACAGCUAUACUAUUCUUGAAAGCGAUGCCUUCAGUGAUAAGAUUGAAAAAGUAGCUAACGUGAUUAAAAUCGAAGCCUCAGCUGAUGGAGGGUCAAUCUGUAAGACCACCAGCACAUACUACCCCAAGGGCAAUAUCGAGUAUACCGAAGAACAAAUUGAGGGAGCAAAACAGCAAAUUAAGGCAGCAAAAGAAAGGUCCUCGGCCAUGUUCAAGGCUGUGGAAGCCUACCUCAUCGCAAAUCCUGAUGUAUACAAGUGAUCAAUGCUGCUUCAUAUAUGUCCACAUACUUGUUGGAUGAUUGAAAUAAACAUAUUGAGGAUCUGUUUUC